UGCAGUCCGCCGGGGUACUCCAAAACAAUCUAGGCACUCAUGAAGAAGUGGCUGAAUUUUUCAACACUGUGUCCGCCGACUUGGAAUCAAACUUUCUUGCUUACAAAGAUGUGAGAGUCAAGAUUCGGAACCACCUUAAAAGUCACUAUAACAGCAGACUGAAAAUGUGGAUGACACAAUGCCUGGACACCUACUUCGGUAGCCCCUGGACUAUCAUAGCUUGGGUUGGUGCUGCUUUGGCCCUUUUCUUUACUGCCGUCCAGACUUACCUCUCAGUCUUCCCUCAUUGAUGCAUGCAUGCCCUGUUUUCUCGCUAUCUAUUGAGUGCUUCUGCAUUUUACCUAGCCCAAAUUCAUGGCCUCCAUAUAACCCUUUGAUGGUUGCAAAGUAAAUUAGGCAAAGAGUCAUUGGUCUCGUUUCUUUUCCUUUUUCAGCGUAUUUUCUAUCUUCCUUUCCGUGUGUAAAACAAGUAAAAAAGGAAUGUGUGCUGUGAUCUUAUUUUAGUGUAUUUUGUGCCUAUGUAUGCAUCAGUAAUAUUAUGUUUUAUUUAAGUAACUAAAAAUAGAUAUGGGUGGACUAUUUUUCUAUUUUUGGAUCCCUGUUAAUGUAUUAUGUUAGGUUGGCAAUUUUAUUCAUUGAUGUUUUAGUCGGAUACAACUUAUUUCCUCAAAUCUUAAUGGUUGUGACCGAGUUCAUCAGUUCGAUACGAGGUAAGUGUUUGAAGAAGUAGAUACAGCAAUGAAAACUUAAAAUAUGAAAAACAAAAACAAAAAAGCAAAAGCAAAACAAAGUGAAAGUGGAGAAAAACCUGGCUGGAAUGUACGAAAUUCAACAGAUGCAAGUGUCAUUUAUUCAUUUUUAUUUGAGAAAAAAUAAAAUAUUAAAAAUAUUCUUAGAAAUCUAUUUAUCAAUUUUUUAUUAUAAUUUUUUUCUUGGAUUUCGUACAAAAUAUAUCAAAAGAAUUGAUAUUAGCUUCCAUGAACUUAUCUCAAAUACCAUUUUUGUGGCGAAGAAGCUUCCAACAAGUGGAUCUUUUCUGAAGAAAAUAAAGGGAAGAAGCCGUGGAAUAGAAUAACGGGGAAUGGUAUUUAUGUUAUAUUGAAGGCAAUUAAUGGAUGGAUGUAUUGAUAUGAUUUUUAUCUUCUUGGUUGAUUGUGUAAAUAGAAUGAUUGUCUAGAGAAUUUAUUAGGUGGAAGUAAAUAUGAAUUCUCUUCAUCUCAAAGGGAGUAGUAUUUUUUGGUGAAAAAGAGUUUAGUAAUUUAAUCAUUUUACAAAAAAAACAUUUUAUUUUUCUUUUUUAUUUUUAAGAUGAUAUUAGAAAGUUUGAAUGUAAUGUUUUACAUUGGAUAUAUGAGAAAAUUGGGUAUCAAUCCCUUACUCCGGUAUGGGAGUUUGUUUGGUUCUAUAAAGGGUAUUUAUUUGUUUCGUCCAACAAUCUCAUAGGAUACAACAAAGACAUUAUAUUUAUAUGAGGAAUGUUUGUAAUGUUUCACAAUGAAUAAAAGAGAAAGUUCCUAAGAUUAUAUAUGUAUGAGUUUCUUUUAAUUUUGUAAACGUGUUUUAGAGUCUUAAAUGUCUUAUUGGACACAGAGCAAAUAAUAUUUAUAUGGUUAGAUACAAGUCAUCACAAAUGGUUUAAAAGCUAAUCAUUUUUCUUGGUGUGGGAGUUUGUUUAGUCCUAUGAAGCAUUUUUGUCUAUUUGACCAUAUAAUCUCAUGAGACAUGUGGUUAUGUCCCAUAAACAAAAAUUUGAAGUGAAAGAAAUGAUCUCUUGAAAAAUAUUUAAGACACUUUAAAUAUAUAUAUAUGACAAUCUCGUUGUAAUCAAAAGUCAAUUUCAAACCAAGACAAAAUUUGUCGAUUUGUUCAUGGUUUAAGAUAAAGGUAUGAAUUUUUUUUUUCACCUACUAUACUUUUCUAGCCAAUUUAUAGUAGCUUUUCAAAGACAUAAGCAAUCACUCACUACCAAAAAAAAAAAAAAAAGAAAAUGUUCUUAAAGCAUGCAUAAUUUUUUAUUUGGACGACAUUGUAAUGAUCAAAAUGGUUGAGAAAACAAAAUUUUCAAUUUGAUGGGAAGGGGUUUCAUCCUUUUUAUGUGUUACAAUUCUUAAAAAAUAAAAAAUAAAAAAUACUUUCGUGUUUUUAUGAAGUCCUUGUCAAAGGAUGUCUUUAUCAUGUUUUAAGACAAGUUGGGACUAUAGACAGUUAUUGGCAUUGGCCAAAUAACCAAGAAUUCUUGAUACUUGUCCCAUACAAGUAUAGUUUUCUAAGUUGGGUUGAUUUUUGUAAACCACAACUCUUCAACCCAGUAAAUGGCGUUAAAUAUAAUGUUUGGAGGUUGGUCAUCUUAUGAAGACCCAAAUCACCACCAAAGCAACUCUCCAUUUUCGGUUGGCUUAAGAUCUUACUGUCAGGAAUGUAUAGAUGUUUCAAUUGGUACAACUUCCAAAUUGAACAUGGAAUCACGGAAGAACUAUGGCGUACCUCUAGAAUCUAUAGGUUAAAGAGUUUGCCUAUAGACCAUGAAAAACUUUUAGUAGAACGUGCACUCUCGACAGAAAAAUAUUUGUAGAUCUUUUCUGACUUCAAGUAGUGUUAGGUCUAACACUGUUAGCAAUUUUGUUCUUAAGCAAGGUAUCAAAUUUACUUGAGAAAGAUCAAUAGAACAAAUCAAAGAUCGGAGGAGGCGGCAGGUAUGCAAAUGUUUGAGAAAUAUUUUUUAAGUCAUGAGCAAUAAGUCGACGAGGGUUAAAAGGGCAUGCAAGGAUGAUGUUUCGGUGUACCUCAAAUUUUUUUGAAUCUUUGGCUUUUGAAAUAGCAAGGUCGCGAAGGAGAUCAUGGAUACGACAAGACUUUACUCUUCCAUCCCAUUUUCUUCUGGCCACCUGAAUCAUGCUUCUAUGAAUCAACUCUUCUAAAUAAUCCUCAGCAACGUCUUCCACCAUUUCUUCACCCCUUUGUACAAAUCCCUCCGUAAUCCACAUUUGGAGCAAUUUGUUUGCCUUAAUUUCACAAUCUUCCGGAAAAAUACCACAAUAGAGAAAACAAGACCUCAAGAAAUAAGGCAAGUCACUAUAGCUCAAAGCAACAAUUCCCAAGCAUGAGUUGGGGCCUUGACUUAGAUUUCCACUCCAUGCUUUUUAGUAUUUUCUCCCACGAAGAUUUAGACUUCUCUUUUCUUGAUAGAAGCCCUCCUGAUACCACAAUGGCUAGAGGUAAGCCUUUGCAUUUCUUUAUAAUCUCAUUUCCCAUACCUUCAAACUCUACAAGACAAACAACUGGUGAUGUACUUGCAGUUGGAAAAGUUUUCUUGAGAAAGGGCAUCCAACUCUCUUCUGGACAUAAAGGACGGAGUUCAUAGAGCUGUGCAUGGGCAUCCGAAGCAAUUUGUUGGUUAUGUGUGGUGAUGAGCACUCUGCUCUUGUUUGACUUAUGCUAAACUUGGAUGCUCUAUACAUCAUCCAACACUAUCAAAUACCUUUUAUCUUUGAGGUAACCAUUAACCUCUUUCCCCAAUUGAUCCUCAACCAUUUUAUAUUACCUUUAAAAAUUAUUUAAAAUAGCCUUAUGUCACGGACUUAGUCUUUUCCUAAUUAAGCUUGUGCGGCACUUAGACAAACUAAGACCCUUGAUCUUGCUAAGUCAGUCUUACUCUCAAUGCUUAGCUUGCUAGGCUAAGACGCUCACUACUCGGAAGUUUUAGAAGGUAUAGUAGGCAACUCUUAUAGAAUGAAAGCUUUAUUGCUUUCAAAUGAAGCUAUACAAUGCUUAGAAGCUCACUUGCUUGGUUAGGAAGUGAUAUUGAAGCUUUAUUACUUUACUGCCGUCUAGACUUACUUCUCAGCCUUCUCUCAUUGAUGCAUGCAUUCCCUGCUUUCUUGCUAUCUAUCGAGUGCUUCUGCAUUUUACCUAGCCUAAAUUCAUGGACUCCACAUGACCCUUUGAUGUGCAUAGUAAAUUAGGCAAAGAGUCAUUCGUUCCGUUUCUUUUCCAUCUCAGCAGAAUGAAUGGGUGCUGUGAUCUUAUUUUGGUGUAUUUUGUGGUUAUGUACGCAUAGGUAGUAUUAUGUUUGAUUUAAGUAACUAAAAAUAGGCAUGGGUGGACUAUGUUUUCUAUGUUUGGAUCCCUAUGAAUGUAUUGUAUUAGGUUGGCAAUUUUUUUUUAUUGAUGUUUUACUCCAUGCAACUUAUUUCCUCGGAUCUUAAUGGUUGUGAUUGAAUUAAAAUUACUAUGAGGUAAGGGUUUGAAGGAGCAAGAUAAAGUAUGAAAACUUCCAAAAAAAAAAAAGAGAAACAGAACAAUGUGAAAAAUGGAGAAAAACCUGACAGGAAUGCAGGAAAUUUAAUAGAUGAAAGUUAUUUAUUCAUUUUUAAUUGAGAAAAAUAGAAUAUUAUUAUUAUUAUUAUUAGAAAAUUAUUUAUCAAUUUUCUAUUAAAAAAUUUUCUUGGAUUUCACAGAAAAUAUAAUAAAUAAAUUGACAUUAGCUUCCAUGAACUUAUCUCAAAUCCCAUUUUUUUGUGACAGAAGCUUCUGAGGACAGGAUUUUUUUUCUCAGGAAAAAUGGGUGGAACAAGGUGGAAGGUGUGGAAUAGAAGAAUGGAGAAUGGUAUGGAUGUAUUGAUAUGAUUUUAAUCCUCUUGGUAGAUUGUGUAAAUCAGAUGAAUGCGUCAGAGAAUUUCUUGAAUAAGGGUGUAGUAAUUUUCGGUAAUGAAGAGUUCAGUAAUUUGUUGAAUUGUUUUUAAAAUAUUUUCUUUUUCUUUCCAGUUUUUAAGAUGAUAUUGGAAGGUUUGACUCAGUAAUAUUAGGUUUAUAUGUGUUCAGAAUAUGUGCAGGGUUUACAACUUAUAUAAUUUUUGGCAAAUAUUUGUCACAACAGUAAUUAUGAAACUUUUAAGAUGAAUUUAGAAGUGAAAAGUGUUUUAAAAAGUGGAAAAAUCUCCGUAAAAAAGAUUGUGUUAUCUAGCAUGAUUUUUUUUUUCUUUGCUUUUCUUUGCUUUUGUUGCAACUCUUCUAUUUCCAACCUUUUCUUAGGACCAAAAUACUAAUAGUUUCUAUUAAGCAAAAUAAUAAAACAUGACACAAGAUGUACAAUGAUAGGACACAUAAUGAUAAGAAUCCACUUUCAUUAAUAUUUAUAUAAAUAAAAAAUAAUCAAAUAUUAAUUUUAUUUGAUUCUCCUAAUUUAGAAAAUAAUAUUUAUUUUAGAUAAAUCAAGAGCAGCUAAGAAUAUUUUAUCUUCUUAAUUUAGGAAAUAAUAUUUAUUUCCUUAAUGUUAAGAUAUUUAUUUCUUUCUAUGAUACACAAUGCAUCUUUGUAUAAAUUUCUGAAAAAAACAAUAAAACAAUUGUUUUCAUUAUGAAGAAGCUCAAACUUGAGUCUUCUCCAAGAGUGGUUGAAUGUUCUAGAAAGAAUGUCAUAAAAGGCUUGAUGUAUCCUCGUAAAUCAUAUCUUCCUCUUUAAAAAAAAAAAAAAAAAAAAGCCUUAAUGUUCCCAUCUUCCAUUAAUAUUCUUUCUAGUUUGAUUUCAAUCAAGCUAAACAACACAAAUUUUCUACCAUGGUGAAAUCAAAUCAUCCUCUUUCAUGACUUCAAUGUUUUAGCCUUUCAUGUAUGUUCUACGCUUUCAUUAGAGUUAUUUCUGGCUUGAUUUCAAUCAAGUUAAACACCACAAAUUUUCAAUUUUUGUCAUCUUCUUAAUUUGUGGUGUAAGUGUUCUCCAACAUUUCUUACCUCUUGAAAAAAUUAAAUAUUAUAAGGAAAGCAAUGUUCUAUCUUACAAUACUAGUUAUUGAUCAAUGAUAAAUUCAUCACUUCAUGAAUUUGAAUCAUAAAAGAGCAUAUUUUAAGUAUAAUCUUUGGUGUUAACAUGGUGUAUGAGAUAUGAACUUUUAAAGAGAAAUUGCUUCUUAUUAUAAUUGACAAUCACGUCAUAAUCAAAAGCCAAUUUCAAAUCAAGACAAAGUUUGUGAAUCUGUUCAUGGUUUAGGAUAAAGGUCUGAAAUAUUUUUCACCUACUAUGCUUUUCUAGCCUAUUCAUGGUAGCUUUUUAAGAAUACAUGCAAUCAUUCACUACCAAAAGGGAGGGAGAAAACAUUCUUAGAGCAUGCACACAUUUUUAUUUGAACGAUAUAGUCAUAAUUAAAAUGGUUGAGAAGACAAAAUUUUCAAUGUUAGGAAAGAGGCUUCACACUUUUUGUGUGUUAUAUUUCUCACAAAAAAAAUUCUUUCAUGUUUUGAUCAAAUCUCCAUAAAAAAUGAUGUCUUCACCAUGUUUAAGAGUAUAUUGGGUCAAAUAUACUUUACCUUCUUAAGUAAUCAUGUGCUUUACAUUUUGUUCCCUCGUUUAAAAUUCAACAAUUUGUCUUCCAAACUUCUUAAAAACCAACAUUACACCUUUUUUGUUGAAUGAUGUUACAUUAAUAAAACGAAAAAUGUAAGUGCCUUGCAUGUGACCUAAUAAGUAGAGGUAAAAUUGUCAUUUGAAAUACUCAAAGCCUUAAAAUCUCGUCAAUCUUUGUUUUUCCUUCCUCCAAACUCUUCAAUCUUCGAUUUUCUUUCUCCAAAGCCCUAAAAUUCAAUCAUCAAAGGGUUGAGAGUUUGAUUUAAAAUAUGGAUUUCAAUGAUAGUUUUUUUUUUUAUAAACCCCUACACUGUUUUGCUUCAAUUUUGUCUUUGAUAGCUAAGAAAAUUUCAAGAAGAGAAUAAAUUUUGAGUGAUGAGGUGUUUAUAAGGGUUAGGGUUUUCUUUUGAUAGUUGAAAAAUUUUUGGACAUCAUCAAUUUUUUUUUUCAGACUUAUAAAAUAUAUAAUAAAUAUUUUUUAAAUAGCUUAACAAAUAUUUUUUUUGUUUUUUACUUACAAAAUAAUAAAUAUGCCGUACAUUAUUUGUCCUAUAUAUUAAAUAAUUUUUAAAUACCUCAUAAAAUAUUAUUAUUAUUAUUAUUAUUUUAACUUACAAAUUAGACUCAUAGUGUUUAUUAUUUGUCAUAUUAUUUUGAAAAUAAUGUAAACAAUCACAUGCACUUUAAGAUAUUCAAAAUUUCUCUAUUCCAAAAUUAUCUAACUGUUCAUCACACUAAUUCUAAAUAUUUUAAAAUAAAGAUUUUAUACUGUUUUGGUUUUGGAGAGUUUAUUUUAUAUGUUGUAUAUAUUUUAUAUAUUUUUUUUUUGUUGGGUAUAUAUAGAAUUGAACAUUUGAUAGUUUAAAAUUUUUGUUUUAAUAAAAGAAAUCGUUAAAUAAACAUGUUUUAAUAAAAUAAUAUUUCUAAAACAUUUUUCUUAAUAAAAGAAAGUUUUUUAUUAAUAAAAAUAAAAAAAAACGCUUUUAAGAAAAUCCAAAAAAAAAAAUUGUUUGUAAUGAAAUUUGAAAAAUUAUUUUUAAUAAUAAUUAUCAAAAAAAUUAUUUAUUUAAUAAAAAUUGUUCAAAAAAAUUAGUUUUUAAAUAAGAUUUUCCAAAAGAUUAUAUUUCAUAAAAAAUCGUACAAUUUUUUUUUUUUUUUACAAAUAAAUUCUAUUUCCUUACUUAUAAUAGGAUUAAAAGUAAUUUUUGUAAAUUACAAAUUUCAAAAUUUUGAACCGCCCUUUUAGAUUUCAAAAUUUGAAAUGAUUUACGCCGCUGUCCGCAACUUGCAAUUUCAAAAAUUUGAAAUUGUUUACUUUGCUUGGGUGCUCGUCCCUUCAAAUUUCAAAUUUGAACGUUUGCCCGCCUUUCAGCUUUCAAAAUUUCUCGCCCAUCAAAUUUCAACUUAGGGGUGCCCGCCUGCUUGCCCUUCAUUUCAUAAUUCCAUAAACAAUUGUCCUCAUCUUGGCUGUCCUUUCGUUGGUUUUUUUUGGAAGACACGGGGGAGAAGGUAGAGACAAAGGUUGACAGAGUAAGUGUAACGACCCGCACCCAACCAUGUAGAUAUUGUCCGCUUUGGGCCCAAGGGGGCCCUCACGGCUUUAAAACGCGUCUACUUGUUUAAGAAGAGUCUCUACAUAUAUAGCGUCAGGAACUUCCUCCCCUAUCCGAUGUGGGACAUCACAAAUACCCCCCCCCCCNNNNNNNNNNNNNNNNNNNNNNNNNNNNNNNNNNNNNNNNNNNNNNNNNNNNNNNNNNNNNNNNNNNNNNNNNNNNNNNNNNNNNNNNNNNNNNNNNNNNUUUUUUUGGAAAGACCCGGGGGGAAAGGGAGAAAAAAGGGUUAACAGAGUAAGGGUAACCCCCCCCCCCCCCCCAUGUGUUUUUUUUCCGCUUGGGGCCCAAGGGGGCCCCCCCGGUUUAAAAAGGGGUUUACUUUUUUAAAAGGGGUUCUUAAAUAUAAGGGGUCGGGAACUCCCCCCCCUUUUCGGAGGGGGGACUCCAAAAAUCCCCCCCCCCCCCCCCCCCCAUGCAGACACAACGUCCUCGUUGUGUCCCAUGGGAUUGUGGGGCCAAACAGACAAAGCCAAACAAACUCCCACACCGGGGUCAGGGAUCGGCUCUGAUACCACUCUGUCACGCCCAAGACCCACUCCAAGGGCAUGACGGUCAUUUCACACCUCAAACCCGAAGGCUUAAAGUAUAAUCUGACCCAAACAAUCAUAUUGUAACUGGAUGUUACCAAUUACCAAAUACCUGUUCAGAGUAGCAGAACAAAAUCUAAAAUCCUCAAAAUUCAAUUUCCAAAUAACUUCCAAAUAUCAAAUGAUCCAAAUGAACAUAACUAACAGUUAAACAAAAUCCAACAUAAAAUCUUAAGUCAANNNNNNNNNNNNNNNNNNNNNNNNNNNNNNNNNNNNNNNNNNNNNNNNNNNNNNNNNNNNNNNNNNNNNNNNNNNNNNNNNNNNNNNNNNNNNNNNNNNNACCCAACCAUGUAGAUAUUGUCCGCUUUGGGCCCAAGGGGGCCCUCACGGCUUUAAAACGCGUCUACUUGUUUAAGAAGAGUCUCUACAUAUAUAGCGUCAGGAACUUCCUCCCCUAUCCGAUGUGGGACAUCACAAAUACCCCCCCCCCCCCCCCCCCAUGCAGACACAACGUCCUCGUUGUGUCCCAUGGGAUUGUGGGGCCAAACAGACAAAGCCAAACAAACUCCCACACCGGGGUCAGGGAUCGGCUCUGAUACCACUCUGUCACGCCCAAGACCCACUCCAAGGGCAUGACGGUCAUUUCACACCUCAAACCCGAAGGCUUAAAGUAUAAUCUGACCCAAACAAUCAUAUUGUAACUGGAUGUUACCAAUUACCAAAUACCUGUUCAGAGUAGCAGAACAAAAUCUAAAAUCCUCAAAAUUCAAUUUCCAAAUAACUUCCAAAUAUCAAAUGAUCCAAAUGAACAUAACUAACAGUUAAACAAAAUCCAACAUAAAAUCUUAAGUCAAAUCCUAAUGAUGACCAUUCCUCAGCCUAGCCAUCACUCCUCACCCGAACUAAGAGUACCUGAAGAAUUUUCAACAAUUGGGAAUGAGCUCACAGCCUAAUAAGGAAUAUUAAUGCAGUUCAUGAAUCAAAUAUUUUCAUUUUAAAUAGGAGAUAUCAUUUUUUUUUUUUCAUCAAAUAUUAGAGUUUCAAAAAUACCAAUAUAUUCAAAAUUCAACCAACCAUUUUCAUAUCAAAUUCAAACACUUUCACAUAAGAUUCAAUCAAAUCCAUUCAAUUUUCAUUACUCUGGUUAUCAAAUAUCAAAUGCCCAAUUAGGUGGGACUUUUCAAAUGGGUGGCUAGCUUCAAAUUGUUCCUGGUGGACGGAACUAAACACUACUAGUACUAGUAACCUCUAACCAAACCCCUAGAGGCUGGGGUCCAAAUCAAUUACAUUCCCACCAUGAAAUGUAAAGGUCAACUAUUAUAUCCCGUUGACAGGGCCGAAUAGUCAACUAUUAUAUCCCGUUGACAAGGGCCAAAUAAACCAGAGUGAUGGUUUUGUUCAAGUAUUCAAAUUUACACAACAUAAUAUCUCCAUAUUUUGUGUCAUAAAUGAAACAAAAUAUUCCAACAUAACAUUUAGUGCAAAACAAUUUGAUCCAUGCAUGAUAACAAAAUAUCAUUUUCUUUUCCACAAUUCAAAAUAACGUAUAAAAUAAUUUAAUUUUAUAAAUAUUACAUUAACUUCCUUUACCUUAAAAGAAAUCCUCCAAAAACUUUGGAGAAAAAUAAUCCUGAAAAUCUACUCUUCACCUAACAAAACAUAAGAGAAACAAUUAUUACUAUUUAUUUAUAAUUUAACUAAUCUAUUCCUUAUUUAAAUAAACUAAUAAAUUCCCAAUUUAUUUCUAAUAACACAUUACUAAUUUAAUUAAAUUAUAAUUUUAUUUCAUUAUAAAAUUCUAUAUAUAUAUAUAUAUAUAUAUAUAUAUAUUUUGCUAAAUCUAUUAUUACUAUUAUCUUAAUUAUAAAUCUAAAACUAAAUAUUAUUAUUUUAAUUAACCAAUUCCAAAGCCACUCAACCUAUCUCGGGUACACCAAACCAAAAAGCAAGUUUUUUUUUUUUUUUCAUUGCCAUCAUGAUCCAUUAUAUAUAUAUAUAUAUAAAAGGGCUUCCUGGCGCACGCCUUUUUUUUUUUGUUCCAUGCUUCCAAUAACACAGUACACGUAUGCCCUUUUUUGUUUUUUUUUUUUUUUUAAUAAAAUUAACCCUAACCUAAAAUCGAAACCUUCCAAGAAAAUUUUUUUUUUCAUCUAAUAAAACUUAAGAUCUCCCAAAUUCAAAUACUAAAAUCAAAAUAUUAAAUUUUCACUAUUUGAUAUUAAAACGAAUUAAAAAAAAAUAAUCUAACCCUAAUCUAAAUUUGGGGUUUUCCAAAAAAAAAAUAUCUAAUAUGCUUGAAAUUAACUAAUGACUCUAAAAUAAUAAUCUAGGGGUUAGAAACUUACCUAUAGAGGUUUGUUCUUCAAACCUUAAAAUCUGACCUCAACUUCACGUUCUCUGGAAACUCUCUGCGAACAGGAAUACAAUUCAAAAAAGAACAGGAAGAAGAGAAUUUUCUAUUUAUACCUAGGGUAUUAAUCGUAAGGAGUGUUUGUCUGUUUGACCCCGCAAUCUCAUGGGACACAACGAGGACGUUGUGUCUGCAUGGGGGGUAUUUGUGAUGUCCCACAUCGGAUAGGGGAGGAAGUUCCUGACGCUAUAUAUGUAGAGACUCUUCUUAACCAAGUAGACGCGUUUUAAAGCCGUGAGGGCCCCCUUAGGCCCAAAGCGGACAAUAUCUACAUGGUUGGGUACGGGUCGUUACAAAUGGUAUCAGAGCUGAUCCCCAACCCCGGUGUGGGGGUUUGUUUGGCUUUGUCUGUUUGGCCCCGCAAUCCCAUGGGACAUAACGAGGACGUUGUGUCUCCAUGGGGCGGGGCGGGGGGGGGGGGGGGGGGGGGGGGGGUUUUUUUAUUCCCCCCCCCGAAAGGGGGGAAAGUUUUGGGGGGUUUUUUUUUUAAAACCCCCCUUUACCAAAAAAAACCCUUUUUAAACGGGGGGGGGCCCCUUGGGCCCAAAAGGAAAAAAAAUUAAAUGGGGGGGGGGGGGGGGUUUCCAAAAGGGGGGGAAAAAAGGACCCCAAAAAGGGGGGGAAAAGGGGGCUUUUUUUUGGAAAAAUUUUCCCCGGGUUUUUUUUUUUCCCCCCCCUUUUUAAAAAAUUUUUCCCCCCCUUUUUUUUUUUUUUUUUUUUUUUUUUAAAAAAAAAUUUUUUGGGGCUAACCGUUUUUUUUUUUUUGGUGCGGGGGAAAAAAAAAAAAAAAAAAAAAAAAAAAUUUUGUAUUUUUUGGGGGGGGGGGCCCCCCCUCAAAAGGGGGUUCUUUAAAAAAAUACCCCCCCCGGGGGCCCCUUUUUUGGGGGUUUUUUUNNNNNNNNNNNNNNNNNNNNNNNNNNNNNNNNNNNNNNNNNNNNNNNNNNNNNNNNNNNNNNNNNNNNNNNNNNNNNNNNNNNNNNNNNNNNNNNNNNNNAAAAAAAUAAAUCUACCCGUAAUCUAAAUGAGGGGGUUUCCCCAAAAAAAAAAUAUUUAUUAUGCGGGAAAAUUAAAUAAAGACUCUAAAAUAAUAAAUCUAGGGGUUAGAAAUUUACUUAUAGAGGUUUGUUUUUCAAAACAUUAAAAUAAGACCUCAAUUUCACUUUUUCUGGAAACUCUCUGCGAACAGGAAUACAAUUCAAAAAAGAACAGGAAGAAGAGAAUUUUCUAUUUAUACAUAGGGUAUUAAUCGUAAGGAGUGUUUUUCUGUUUGACCCCGCAAUCUCAUGGGACACAACGAGGACGGGGGGGGGGGGGGGGGGGUGUUUGUGAUAUCCCACAUCGGAUAGGGGAGCAAGUUCCUGGCGCUAUAUAUGUAGAGACUCCUCUUAACCAAGUAGACGCGUUUUAAAGCCGUGAGGGCCCCCUUGGGCCCAAAGCGGACAAUAUCUACAUGGUUGGGUGCGGGUCGUUACAGUAAGGGGGAGAAACAAGGAACCAGAGGAAGGAAGCAGAAGGCUAGCUUAUUCGGUAUACAUUUCCUCUGGUUCUUUUGUUCUCUCCCUCUGUUUAAUAUAAUUCUUACCUCAAUUUAAUUUAAUUCUUAUUGAUUUCUAUAAAUAUAUAUUUUAGGUCUAUACAGUUUCAUUUUUAUUGGUUCAUGUAAAUAUAUAUAUAUAUAUAUAUAUAUAUAUUGUAUAUUUUGUUGAGGUUGCCUGCCCUUCAUAUGAGGGUUCCGUUAACAAUUAUCCGCGUCCUGGACGUCCUUUGGUUGGUGUUUUUUUGGGAGACCGGGGCGGACCAGGAACGGAGAAAGAUUUACACAGUAAGAGAUAGAAACAGGAAAUCGGAGAAAGAAAGCAAUAGAGUAGGUUCAGUGCACAUUUUAUUUCUCUCAUCUAUCUCAUCUAAUUCUUAUUGAUUUCUAUAAACAUAUUUUUUUUAUAUAUAUUUUUAUUAGGUUUGUAUAGUUUCAAUUUGUUAGGUCUUGCUAGUUUUUGGUGAAGGAUAGCUUGCUCGAAGCCGCUUCAAGCAGUACUACUUGGGGGAACCUUUCCAGGUAUGGCGGCUGUACGCUUCUUUUUAUUUUUUAUGAAUUUGCUCCAUUUUAUGCCGAUUUUCUGGGUAUUUAAUUGAUGACUGAUGUGGAAAUUAAGUUUUAAAUGGUUGUUUUUACUGAAUCUGAAUUUGUUUUCAUACUUAACUCUGUUUUGGUUUUCUACUAAUACCUUUUAUUUUCCUCUAAAUACCUAACGUAUGGACUGUUCUUGGUUGGAUACUUGCUAAUCAUGCCACUGCUCUCUGCUUGUCCCACUUACGUUCAAGCACUUGGAUAACACAAUGAAAUGUGGCUUCCUCUAACUGUUUGUCUGUACCACUUUUGUGUUUUACUUUCUUCAUAUCAGAAGAUUAAAAUGAUUUUUGUGCCUUUUCUAUGAUAAAUGAAAAAUAAUUAUUCCCCUUUUUACCCCUAUUUGAUUCAGCGGAUGGUUUGUUUCACGUUCUAUUUUCCAGGGGACCUAAUAAGUUUGAAACUGUUUAUAAUGUUUUGUUUUUCGUAUUUUAGUAUCAACACACCCAACUCUCAUAUAAGGCGUUGCAAUUGAUAGAAUCAAAGGCUGGACAUGGAUCAAAUUGCUGGCCCAAGCAGUAGACGAGGUAUGAAAAGUGUUUGAAAAGUCUGUUUAAAAUUGUCAAGUUGGAAAUAUUUAGUUACCAAGAUAUGAUUAUGAGUUAUUAAAUGGCAAAAUGAAUAAAAAUUCGUAAUUUUGAGGUUUUUCUUUGAUACACUUAACCAUGUAACCUAUAUUUAUGAAAAUCAAAUAAAAUUGUUUGGAAUCUAUUAAACAUUAUGAUUAAAUAUAUUAUAGCUUUGUAUAAUAUAGAUCAACCCAGUUACUCACCAUGUAGCUUAUUAGGGUUUUUAUUUUAUUUAUUUAUUUAUUUAUUGUUAAUUUGAAUUAAAUUAAACUGCCAAAUGCAAUAUAAUUUAAGAUAUUUGUAAGCUCUAUUUGAUAGUAUUAGAGGUUUAUGUAACAUAUUUGUUAACUAAACUACCAAAUGAGGGAUAUUAUUAAUUAUUGCAUUAGGUUAUCUAAUUUAAACUGAUUAUUUUCUCAUGGUCUUGUAGGUUUAGGACAUUUUUAGAUUAUUAUGUCUUACUCUUUAUUUAAUAUUUAAAGGUGUUGCAUAAUUAAUCAAGAUGAGAGAGACAAGUCUUACUCUGUCCAAGAAGAAUUAAUUAGGAUCUAUCUUAUCGUUAAAUGGAUGUUAGGCUUUAAGCAAGAGGGGUGUUAGUAUUGAUUUUAAAGUACUCGUGAGUGAGUCGACGUUUUAGCAUUACCCCAUGCUCAAAGUAGAAUUCUAUGGAAUUCUAAAAUGUUUCUUUUUUAAGAGUUUUUUCUUUCUGGAAAAUCUUAGAUUUUCUUUUUAUAGGUAAAAAGAAAAUCUAAAAUUUAGAGGGUCAUCAGAAUGCACACGAAGCAUAUAAAAAACAUUUUUCGGUUAAGUCAAGGGGAAACAACAAAUACAAUUUGCCCUCGGCCUAAGCCUAAAGCAUAAAAGACCAAGAGAAAACAAAAACCUCGAGAUGACCUUCUUGUAUGCUUGUCGACCAAACUGGUUGCUGUGACCCAACCAUGACAAAAAGAUGAAACAAAAAAAAUGCAUCUUCUACCCUUGACUCUUUCUGAGGCCACAGUUUUUUGAGUUGCGCCAAGAUCCUUGCACUGAAGCCCACUGUCGGCAAGCCCAACGAGUCGGUGAAAGUUUUCGGGUUGCUUGAGGACGGAUUCGCCAUAGACACCCAUGCUCUAGAAACCCAGCCUGGACAUGACCCAUUUGCAUUCACUUGUUCUGAGAAACCGAAAAAUCCAUUUUAGGGGACCGUAAUCAUUUCCUAGAGAAUUAACAGAAAAAACCACCUCACAUCCCUUCGAAUCAAGACCAACCCCAUAAAAUGCAAAAGUUGCUCAUGUCUCCAAGGGAGAAAGAGAGAAAGAAAAAGUACCAGAAUGUCCUACCGCUACUUCCAUAAGGGCAAUUUCUCCAACUGCAGCAAGUGAAGUAGCACUCUCACGUUCUCAACAGCGCAUCUCUCCCGUGGCUUCACCGCUAUCCUCUAGACCAGAAAACGCAUAACUCGAAACGUCAGUAGAAAUAAAUGGUUGUACUUCCCACCACAAUUGAUGGAGAAGCAAGAGAAGUCAUCCACCGCCGUCAAUAUCCCAAGCAUCCUUCUCUCAUCUAAUCUUGCUAAAGCCACGCAAGUAUCCCUAAUCUUUUUUAACGUCUUCGGACUCCACAAGUGCAAAGGAAGCCUUACCACGCUAACCCACACUUCCUUGGCAUGCGCACCUUUUCGACAACAGUCUACCUCGAGGGACGACCUAUCCAAGCGCAAAACCAUUUCCUUAAACCUUUUUACACCACUUGGCAAAACAAUCUCUUUAUCACAGCCAUGAUCAUACUCGAACUAUAGAACAACACCCCUUAGCAAGAUAAUCCUUAUCACCCCUUAGAGACCAAUCAUGACCUACACAACUCCUGAACCCAAGAAAAUCUGGGGUUAGGUAUAGAAAAUCUACCCAUCUCCCUACUAGACAACUACUCAAUUUCUCUAUCCGGGUUGAACCUCCUCAUCAAACUGAAUCCAAAUUGUUUCAUUCACCAAAUCGUGCUCUUUAUAACCAAGUCUACAAUAAACCCCUUCAAUGGAUACACUGAACUAUCCAUGUUCAAAGACCUUGAGGUAGUUGGGUAUGGAAGCCUCAUUUCCUUUGACGAAACUACUCAGAGAAAGUGAAGUUUGUCGGCCGGGAUAGACCCUAUCCCCUAGGAUACUUGUCACGACCCAAAUUCCGGGCGACCCAAAAUUUGACCCAUGACCCCAGGUCAAAGGUUUGACCCUAAGAGUUCCUCCUAUUCCACGUUGGCAGUCAACCAAAACACUCUGGAUUUUUUUUUUAUAUACAUCUCACUAGAAUUCUCAUAAACCACAAUAUCCCAAAACUACUCAAAACAACAAGAUUAAAUAAAUAUUCAUUAGAGUCCAAAAUAAAAUUUCACAAUUAACACUUAAUCAAAAUAAAGCUUCAUAACAAAUCCAUGAGUCAUAAUUACUAAAACAAAUCCAUGAGUCAUAAUUACUAAAACACAAUAACAGAAAAUGUCACGUUCCACUAGGCCGCUCCAGGAGCAUCCUGAAGUCCUCCCUGCCCCACCUGUGGAUCCUCAAGAGAGAUAUCUGCAUCUAAAAAUGUGUAACAAGGAAGGGGUGAGCAUUUCCACAUUGCUCAGUAGGGUGCCUAACACCCAAGGGGUUAAGGGGAUUACUAAGUUUCAAAGAAUACGAAAAGAACACUUCAACACCAUAGGAACAAUUCAACAAUAUCAAUCAAACCACAUAGUUUAAUAUAUAAUUCUAUACACAAUUUCACAAUAUUCAACAAUUACAGGAAUGCACAUGAACGUGUGACACACAGUCAUACAAUGCACUAUUGUUCUCAGGCUUUCACCGAAUGAUACGCGUCCGCACCCAAAUACACUCCCCAUUCGGAGUUGAUUCGUCCCUAGCAGCGGCAGUGGCAAUGGCACCAUCUGAUUCGGGGUUCGAUCCCCGGCAACGGCGCCAUUUGAUUCGUGCCCAAUUGAUGUCUCAGCUGAUUCGUGUCUAGCUGGUGCUCCUUGAUUGAGGGAUUAAUCAACAAAAUUUAUAACCUAUUACACCAUAUACUAGGGUAGCAAAGACAAAGCUACUAUAGCAUAGUGGCUCUAGGAUCGUUCACUGGGAUGGGUUUUCACUUCACAAAUGAUAUUAAUUCAAAGUUGAAUUGGUGCCUUUUCAUUUCAAGGUUAGCUUUAAAAGAAAACAUAAAAAUGUUUGAAUGAAAAAGGUUUGGUUUUACACUAACCAAAAAUAGUAACUGAUUUUACUUACAAAGAAAAGUGUUUCUUGGAGUUCAGAUCACUAGGCUCAGGUUCCUCAUACAAAAAAGAGAGUUCCGGUCACUUGUUUCUUUUCCUCGCAUUAGAGAAUUAACAUAUAGUUCCUUCUCCAACCGGUGUUGUACAGAUGCUUCCCAUUAAUGGGUUCAAACACUAAAUCCCUCUCACUGAUGCACCUUGCAAUGACUCAUACCUCUCACCUAGCACUUGCCAUUCAAGGUGAUCUUUAACCUUGGAUUACCCGUCAAAAGCUCGCAAGAGAUAACUAAUGGAUGUCUCCUUGGAGUCCAAAAGCUUACCAAGUGUUGGCUAUUCUAGAAAAUCCUACCUUCAAGUCACCUCCCAAAGGCUCGCAAUGGGUAAACUAGUGCAUCUCCAUGGACGGAGAUCACUUGCCUUACCAAGUGUUGGCCCAGGUGAUUUAAAGGCGUUUUAAGUUAACUAAAAAGAUAAAAACCAUUAACGGGUUACACUUUCUCUUCAUUAAAAACUAAAACAACAAAACUUCCAAAUUAUGCAUGUGGAAACUUACCCGGCUUUCCUUACUCCAAGAGACAAAAAGCUUAGCCUCUCAUCCUCUUAGGAAAAAUCCUCAGAGUUUGGUUAGCUAGAAAUAAAAAGAAAUGAAAAAUCAAAGAGAAGGAAAAACAGAGCAAGGCUCUGUAUAUUCUAUAUAUUUAUCGAUAUGGAUUACAUGAUACUCUUACAGUGGAUGCAAGGGAAUAUAUAUAGAGACAUUUUUCCAACCUUCCCAACUAAGAAAUCUUAUGGUUGGUGGAUUACAAGGAGAAGAAUGGAAAUUCAUACAAAAAUAUCUGAAGAAAAAUAUCCCAAAGUGUCGGUCACAAAUAUCGGGGUGCUUCAGGAACCAUUUCGCAAGAGAAAAUGGUGUCUGCGAGAUUUCGCAGGCACUCAAGAAGGGUUGCGAAAUUACUUCGCAUCAACAAGCUGAACUCGCACCGCUGCGAAGUUGGAUUUCAUCUUGUGGUGUUUGGCUUCCAUCGCGACGUGAAACUUCAAGAGGAAUUUCAAAACACUGUACAAAAAGGCUGCGAAAUCAUCUCGCAACAAAAGGGUGAUUUCGCAACACUUUGCAAAUUUCUUCCUUCAGCUUGGAGUGAUUGACUUGCAGUGGCUGUAACUUCUUCGUUUCAACUCCAAAUUGCACACCGUUUGAAGCAUUGGAUUCUUGACUUCCUGAGCUUUGAAAUGGUAUAUAGAAUGUACAAAAUUGACUUCGGGAAGUGCUCCAAAAGUGCACAAGAAAACUGCAGCUGUUGUCCUAUGUUUUCUUCACUCUGUUUUUCCUCUCUCCUUGCUUCUCUCCUUGCAUACUUUGAACGACUUUGGCAAAGGGCUAUGGAGCUCCAAAGCUUGGUUCUUCAUUAAUUUGAGCUCUUCAUUGCUUUGCCAUGGAUUCCAAAUAACUCUCCUCAAUCCUGGAUUGUUUUGGUGAUCAAAUUACUAACAAAAACACCAAAACUUACACAAUUUGAUUAGAAAUGAUUGCAAGGGUCCUUAACAUGUUAAUUGGGUUAAAAGGCAAUAACUACUACUCAAAAGUGUUUAAAAGAGUUAAUUACAAGCUAUCAAAUAGCACUUUUUGAGUAGUAAUCAGUCUUCCUGGGGUAACUUUUGGGUCUUUCACCCUAGGGAUCUCUCUCCCUUCUUAAUUCGUCCCACACGACUUUCACUUCUCAUCACUAUUUCUUUUUUUUUUUUUUUUCCAUUUCAUACACUUUUCACAAUCUUCAUAAUUUUAUUUAUUUUCCACAUAACCAUGAUGCAAAUGAAUGCCACAAUUCCAAGGUUCCUCAAUAAUUCAACAAUUUCAACAUUCCCCAAUAAUCCAAUAAAAUAAUUUCACACAUUAAAAUUUCUGAUAAUAUCCCAAAUAAAUAUUCAAAAAUUUGCAUAUCAAAAAUCUUGAAAUUUUACCAUACUUACGGAAUUUUUCAACCAUUAUAAUAAUUUCUAAUAUUCGAAAUUAACUAACUUUCUAUCAUAAAAAUUCCAAAAAUUUUCUAACUAAUGCCUAAAAAUUCACCAAUUACUAUUUUUGAAAUUUAGCCCUAAUUUUGGAAUUUUUCAACCCUUCAAAUAAUUUUUUUACAAUUCAAAACAAUUAAUUAUCAAUCAAAAUCAAUUUCCCGCAAUUACAAAAAUUCCAAACAAAUUCCAAAUAUUCUAGAAAAAUUCAUACAAUCCCCAUAAUUCCUAAUUAACUCAUAAUGACAAUAUUUACAAUUUUUUUCAAGGGAAAAACAUAAAAAUUUAAGUUUUAAGGUUAGGGUCCCCUACCAAAGAUCUAAGAAUUCAGCUGCUAAAAAUACAAUUGGCCACUGUAUGAUUGUUCCCCUCGUCGAGUAGAACACACCCUCCAAAUCUGAGUUGAAACGGAGGUCGUUUGACCACCCAAACGACCGGUCAAAGCUCCGGCGAGGUGAGAUUUUCUAUAGUGCCGCUGCCCCUUUUCUCCCAGAUCUGCUACUGUUCCCUUCUUUUCCACUUAAGCCCAUUUCUUUUCAUUUUAAUCCACUUACCAAACAGCCCACUCAAGCCCAACCCAAGUUCAAAAUAAACCCAAUAACUAACUCCCAUUUUUCUUUUAAAACCCUAUUUCAUCCAAGCCCAAAUUACUCCAUUUUCAUUUUUUUUUUUCUUUUCUCUUUAUUUUUAUAAAACACACAAUUUAAUAUUUUUCUCAAUUUUUUAUUAAUAAGGAAUUUAAUUUAAUUAACUAUUAUUUUUUUUCUAAUUAAUUUUAAUUAAUUAACUUUUCAUUUUUGUUUUCGUUUUUUUUUCUUUUCCGGAAAUUCCCAAUUACUAAAAUCCUAAGAAAUUUCCACCCUAAGGCUGACAUGGCAUAAAAUUUUCAACUCACCUAAUUGACCAACACAAUAAACUGAAUUUCACCAAUCCAAAACUAACACCUGUUCUUCAGGCACUUUUCUUUUUGACUUUUCAACCAUCAUUUAAAAUAAGACUUUUCAAACUAAAAAUGCUAACGUGACAUAAAAUACCCGGUCAUUACAUCCUACCCCCCUAAAAGAAAUUUCGUCCCGAAAUUUAAACUAGCUUACCUUAAAAUUCAUAGAAGAGUUGCGAAUAGUGUCGUCUCAUUUCUUCCUCAGGUUCCCAAGUGGCUUCUUCUAUCCCAUGGUGUUGCCACCACACUUUGACUGCAGGAAUCACCUUGUUCCUAAACCUAUGCUCUCCAACUUCCAGAAUUCGUAAAGGUUCCUCCACAUAAGAAGUAUUUUCACUAAUCUGAACAUCUUGCAAAUCCACUACCCAAGUUGGAUCUGGAGUACACUUCCUUAGCAUUGACACAUGGAAAACAUCAUGCACAAGGGACAACUGUUGAGGCAAAAUUAACUUGUAUGCCACUGUGCCAACUCUCUUAUCAAUCUGAAAUGGUCCCACAAACCUAGGGGCUAACUUCCCCUUCUUCCCAAAUCGAAAUAUGCCUCUUCGAGGGGACACUUUUACAAACACCCAAUCCCCUUCCUCAAACUCCAAGGGUCUUCUCCUUUUGUCUGCAUAACUUUUCUGUCUAUCUUGGGCAGUCUUAAGUUUUUCCUUGAUGAGUUGUAUCUUCUCUGUAGUCUCUUAGACAAUCUCAGGUCCCAACAAACGACUUUCACCCAUCUCUAUCCAACACAAGGGCGACCUACAAGGUCUCCCAUAAAGUGCUUCAUAAGGUGCCAUGCCAAUACUAGAUUGGUAACUGUUGUUAUAAGCAAACUCUACUAAAGGUAAGUAAUCUGCCUAAUUUCCUCCAAAAUCCAAAACACAAGCCCUUAACAUGUUUUCUAAGAUCUGGAUCACUAUUUCUGAUUGACCAUCUGUCUGAGGGUGAAAAGCGGUGCUAAAAUUCAGUUGAGUGCCCAAAGCCCUUUGUAAACUCUGCCAAAAUUGAGAAGUAAACUUAGGGUCCCUGUCAGACACUAUAGAUACAGGUAUCCCAUGCAAUCUCACAAUCUCCUGUAUAUACAACUUAGCCAAAGAGUUCAUGGAAUCAGUAGUUUUCAUGGCUAGAAAAUGAGCUGACUUAGUAAGACGGUCCACAAUCACCCAAACUCCAUUUUUCUUGCUUUUAGUUCUUGGCAACCCUAUCACAAAGUCCAUAGUGAUAUUAUCCCACUUCCACUCAGGUAUAGGUAAAGGUUGCAACAAUCCUGCAGGCCUCUGGUGUUCAGCCUUCACUUGCUGACAAAUCUGACAAUUAGCUACAACCUGAGCAAUAUCUCUCUUCAUCCCACUCCACCAAAACUGUCUCUUUAAGUCUUGAUACAUCUUGGUAUUCCCAGGAUGGAUGGUAUACUUCGCCCUAUGAGCAUUUGCUAGAAGUUCAUUUCUCAACUCCACAUCUUUUGGCACACACAAUCUCCCUUUGAACCUCACACUCCCAUCUUCAUACAUAGACCAAUUUUCAUCUAUUUCACCUGCUACCAACUGGGCUUUAACCUUUUCUAAAAACUCAUCAUGAACUUGGGCCUCCACUAUUCUCUGGAUAACCAUUGGUCUAGCUGAUAUACUGUACAAGCAUGGACCAUGCCCUUCCAAACCAAGACAUAAUUCAAAAUCCUCAAUAACUGCAUGCAUCUCAAACUCUCUCAACUCCAAGCUAGACAACUGGCCAACACUCUUCCUACUCAAGGCAUCUGCUACAACAUUCACCUUUCUUGGAUGAUAAUGAAGAGCAAAAUCAUAAUCUUCCAAUGUCUCCAUCCAUCUCCUUUGCCUAGAGUUCAGAUCCUUUUGAGUGAAAAUAUAUUUCAAACUCUUGUGAUCAGAGUACACCUCAAACUUCUCUCCAUACAAAUAGUGUCUCCAAGUCUUAAGGGCAAACACCACUACUGCAAGCUCCAAAUCAUGUGUUGGAUAAUUCCGCUCAUGCUGCUUUAACUGUCUUGAGGCAUAAGCUACCACCUUGCCUUGCUGCAUUAGCACACACCCUAGCCCCACUGUGGAAGCAUCACAAUAAAUUGUAAACAACUCUCCACUAAUAGGAGCAGUUAACACUAGAGCAGUGGUCAAUUUCCGCUUCAACUCCUGGAAAGCAUUCUCAUACUCCUCAUUCCAAUCAAACUUCACCCCAUUUCUAGUCAACCGAGUCAUUGGUACUGCAAUUCUAGAGAAGUCUUCCACAAACCUCCUAUAAUAUCCAGCCAACCCCAAGAAACUUCUAACCUCAAAUACAUUGGUAGGCCUUUGCCACUCCUAAACAGCUUCCACCUUGGAAUGGUCUACUGCUAUUCCUGCCUCAGAAACCACAUGGCCUAAGAAAUUCACUUCAGUAAGCCAAAACUCACUUUUUUCCAACUUCCCAUACAACUGAUGUCUUCUUAAAGUUUUAAGAGUGGUCACCAAAUGCUGUUUAUGCUCCUCCAAACUCCUAGAGUAAAUCAAAAUGUCAUCCACAAACACAAUCACAAACUGAUCUAAGUAAGCAUGAAAUACUCUGUUCAUUAAAUCCAUGAAAGCAGCGGGGGCAUUAGUUNNNNNNNNNNNNNNNNNNNNNNNNNNNNNNNNNNNNNNNNNNNNNNNNNNNNNNNNNNNNNNNNNNNNNNNNNNNNNNNNNNNNNNNNNNNNNNNNNNNNUUAGUGUGCCAUCCUUCUUCUUCACAAACAACACUGGGGCUCCCCAUGGCGACGUACUCGGACGAAUAAAACCUUUACCCAACAAUUCAUCCAACUGAGUUUUCAAUUCCUUCAACUCAAGAGGGGCCAUCCUAUAAGGGGAUACUGAAAUAGGAUCAGUUCCUGGGAAUACUUCAAUAAAGAAAUCAAAUUCUCUAUGAGGUGGUAAACCUGGAAACUCAUCUGGGAAUACAUCUUGAAACUUUCUCACCACUGGAAUUUCUGCAAUGUCCUUCUAGGCUUUCUCCUUACCACGAAGGUAAGCUAGGAAAUUUAUUGAUCCCUUCCUCAACACAUACUGAUAGCACGGAUUGGAUUGCGAAAAAAGCAAACUAACACACUUUCCUCCAACAAAGCAAACCUCAAAUCCCUCUGGCAGACAAAAUAUUAUCCUGCGGCGAUGACAAUCAAUAAUUGCUCUAUACACUGCCAACCAAUCCAUUCCCAAGAUAACAUCAUACCCAGUCAUAUCUAAAAUCCUCAAAUCCACAUUAAGUGCUAUAUCCACCAAGGUAAUAACGCACCCCUUGCAUAUUCUAUCAACUUUAGAGUUCGUACCCAUAGGGGAUUCAAUAAGUAACAAAUUCUCUACCCUUUCUGAUUUCAACCCUGAUGCAUUAGCACAAGAUAUAGAAAUGAAAGAAUGAGUUGCACCAGUAUCAAACAAAACAUGCACCCAAGUACUAUAUACCAAAAUCAUACCUUCCACCAAGAGAGCGUCCUCCUCUGACUCUGUUGGGGUCAAGGCAAAAACUCUCCCAGCUGUCUGCCUUCCCCUACCUCUAGCAUUCGACCCCUGAGAAGAGCGGGUCUGACUCGUGGUAGCUGUCCUAGUUCCCUGUGCUGCUGGGGGUAAUUGUGGCAUCUGAUAGUAAGGCAACUGAAACUGAGGGGGCUGGAAAGGCACUACUGACUGUUAUUGAGAACUUCCCUGAGACUGAGGUCGAGCCUGCUGUGCACCUUGCACUGGGCAAGCCCUCCAUAAAUGGUCUCCUGCUCCACAACCAUAACAUACUCUAUUAGCAGCUGCCCUCUGAGCAAUCUGCCCCCCUCCUGCAUAGAACGAGGGACGCCUCUCAAACUGCUAAGUCCUCUGCCUCUGCUGUGGCCCUUGGGAACUUUCCCUCAUUCUUUGUUUCCCUUUUCUGUCCCCCUUUUGCUCUCGAAUUUGGUUAGUUUCGUCAAUGUCCUGCUCCACCAACAAAGCCCUCUUAACCAACUCAGAAUAGUCCCUUAUUGCCAAUGGGACUAAUCUAUUCCUAAUAGCAGGCCUCAACCCCUGCUGGAACCUUCUAGCCUUUUCUCCUUCCUCCCCGAUCAUCCCCAAAGCAAAUCUAGACAACUCCGAAAAGCGUGACUCGUACUCCAGCACCGACAUGGUUCCCUGGAUGAGGUGCUCAAACUCCAUCCUCUUGGCAUGCUUAGCCACCUCCCCAAAAUACUUGCCUAGGAAGAUUCUCUCAAAUUCCUCCCAGGUCAUAACCUCAGUGUCAUACACCCUUUUCAUUGAUUCCCACCAGAAAUCAGCUUUAUCAACAAGCAUAUAUGUUGCUAGACCUACCCUUCUUUCCUCAGGUAUGUCCAGUCCCACCAGAAUUCUUCUCAUCCUCCUCAACCAAUGCUCAGUUGCUUCAGCAUUGGGCUCUCCAUUAAAAGAUGGAGGUUGCAUCACCAUGAACCUCUUUAUUGCUUCCAUUUGGCUCAUUACUGGCCUCUCAGUGCGGUUCCUCCUAUGUGAGUGGCCUGAAUCCUCAUGGCCCUGGGUACCUCCUGAUCUCCUGGAACCCUGGCCUCUCAUCAAUUCAACAGUUUCUCUCAACUCUCUUCUUACUUCUCGGAGUUCUUCUCUUACCGUCUCCAACUCCUCAUUCCUCUCUGAUCUUCCUCCUCUGGUCCUUCCCGCCAUUUCAAGUUUAACAAACCCUAAUUCAAUCACAUUACUAAGGUGAGCAAAAAUAAAUUUCACAUAUACACACUUAGCAACUUCAACAAUUAUCAAAACUUUCACUUUCAUACACUCAUAAUACAUAAUUCAAUUAAUCAUCAACUAGUUAAUUAACACAUACAAAAAUCAUAACAUUACAACACACAUAAACACCCAAGGUAUUAUUGCAACCUUGGCUCUGAUACCACGCUGUCACGACCCUAAUUCCGGGCUACCCAAAAUUUGACCCGUGACCCCAGGUCAAAGGUUUGACACUAAGGGUUCCUCCUAUUCCAUGUUGGCAGUCAACCAAAACACUUUGGAUUUUUUUUUUUUUUAUAUAUACAUCCCACUAGAAUUCUCAUAAACCACAAUAUCCCAAAACUACUCAAAACAACAAAAUUAAAUAAAUAUUCAUUAUAGUCCAAAAUAAAAUUUCACAAUUAACACUUAAUCAAAAUAAAGCUUCAUAACAAAUCCAUGAGUCAUAAUUACUAAAACAAAUCCCAAAAUCCAAACAAAAAACACAAUAACAGAAAAUGUCACGCUCCACUAGGCCGCUCUAGGAGCAUCCUGAAGUCCUCCCUGCCCCACCUGUGGAUCCUCAAGAGAGAUAUCUGCAUCUAAAAAUGUGUAACAAGGAAGGGGUGAGCAUUUUCACAUUGCUCAAUAGGGUGCCUAACACCCAAGGGGUUAAGGGGAUUACUAAGUUUCAAAGAAUACGAAAAGAACACUUCAACACCACAGGAACAAUUCAAAAAUAUCAAUCAAACCACAUAGUUUAAUAUAUAAUUUUAUAUACAAUUUCACAAUAUUCAACAAUUACAGGAAUGCACAUGAACGUGUGACACACAGUCAUACAAUGCACUAUUGUUCUCAGGCUUUCACCGAAGGAUACGCGUCCGCACCCAAAUACACUCCCCAUUCGGAGUCUUCCCGGGGUAACUUUUGGGUCUUUCACCCUAGGGAUCUCUCUCCCUUCUUAAUUCGCCCCACACGACUUUCACUUCUCAUCACUAUUUUUUUUUUUUCCAUUUCAUACACUUUUCACAAUCUUCAUAAUUUUAUUUAUUUUCCACAUAACCAUGAUGCAAAUGAAUGCCACAAUUCCAAGGUUCCUCAAUAAUUCAACAAUUUCAACAUUCCCCAAUAAUCCAAUAAAAUAAUUUCACACAUUAAAAUUUCUGAUAAUAUCCCAAAUAAAUAUUCAAAAAUUUGCAUAUCAAAAAUCUUGAAAUUUUACCAUACUUACGGAAUUUUUUAACCAUUAUAAUAAUUUCUAAUAUUUGAAAUUAACUAACUUUCUAUCAUAAAAAUUCCAAAAAUUUUCUAACUAAUGCCUAAAAAUUCACCAAUCACUAUUUUUGAAAUUUAGCCCUAAUUUUGGAAUUUUUCAACCCUUCCAAUAAUUUUUUUACAAUUCAAAACAAUUAAUUAUCAAUCAAAAUCAAUUUCCCGCAAUUACAAAAAUUCCAAACAAAUUCCAAAUAUUCUAGAAAAAUUCAUACAAUCCCCAUAAUUCCUAAUUAACUCAUAAUGACAAUAUUUACAAUUUUUUUUCAAGGGAAAAACAUAAAAAUUUAAGUUUUAGGGUUAGGGUCCCCUACCAUAGAUCUAAGAAUUCAGCCGCUAAAAAUAUGAUUGGCCAUCGUAGGAUUGUUCCUCUCGUCGAGUAGAACACCCCCUCCAAAUCUGAGUUGAAACGGAGGUCGUUUGACCACCCAAACGACCCGUCAAAGCUCCGGCGAGGUGAGAUUUUCUAUAGUGCCGCCGCCCCUUUUCUCCCAGAUCUGCUACUGUUCCCUUCUUUUCCACUUAAGCCCAUUUCUUUUCAUUUUAAUCCACUUACCAAACAGCCCACUCAAGCCCAUUUCGUUUCCUCUUAAACAGCCCACUCAAGCCCAACCCAAGUUCAAAAUAAGCCCAAUAACUAACUCCCAUUUUUCUUUUAAAACCCUAUUUCAUCCAAACCCAAAUUACUCCCUUUUCAUUUUUUUUUUAUUUUCUCUUUAUUUUUAUAAAACACACAAUUUAAUAUUUUUCUCAAUUUUUUAUUAAUAAGGAAUUUAAUUUAAUUAACUUUUUUUUUUCUAAUUAAUUUUAAUUAAUUAACUUUUCAUUUUUGUUUUCGUUUUUUUUUUCUUUUCCGAAAAUUCCCAAUUACUAAAAUCCUAAGAAAUUUCCACCCUAAGGCUGACAUGACAUAAAAUUUUCAACUCACCUAAUUGACCAACACAAUAAACCGAAUUUCACCAAUCCAAAACUAACACGUGUUCUUCAGGCACUUUUCUUUUUGACUUUUCAACCAUCAUUCAAAAUAAGACUUUUCAAACUAAAAAUGCUAACGUGGCAUAAAAUACCCAGUCAUUACAAUACUUCUUCCUUGAGGGAAGCUCAAGGUGAACCUUUUAGUCUCCACACAACAAAUCAAGCAAAUAAUGAACCCAUCUGCCUCAUAAGAGCUUAGUUCCAGUGUAAACUCUGUCUCGUCUUCCACCCAUGUUUUGUUGCACAAAUUUUCAUCCUCAGACCUAUAACAAGCUUCCACAUCUUCCAACAAACAACACAAGUUCCUUUUCCCACACCUGAUCCACCUGGACACACCUCUGCAUCUCUCCAAAAUUCUCUUUUAGUUUCCCUCCAAACGUCUCUAUUAAGAUAUCAAAUGACUUUGAUCCUAUUGCAAAACAACACCUACCAUUUCUCGUCUCUCAUUGUAUAUUGUCUGGGAAGAGUAUAAAUGUGGAAAGCGUUUUUUGCUUGUCCCACAUAGGAAAAAGUGGAACACUUUUAGUGGGUUUAUGCCCACUCGCCUUAGCCUAAUGGGCCUUUGAGUGGGAAAAGCUCGCAUGCUCAUGGGGUCGAAUCCCAUUUGAGUGGGUUUUUAAUGUUCACUUUCUCUCCUCCUUCCUUCCUGUGUACGGGUGCGUUAUUCGCUAAUUUUUAUUUGUUACUCUUUUACUUUUUGUCAACUCUUUGGGAAGAACCCUAGAGUUCCAAUGAGAUUGUACUAGUAGAUGUCUUGUAACAUUUACAACUAGACUCUUGUUCUAUUUACAAGUAGAGUCUUAUUCGGAAUGUCAUGCAUUCGAGUAAGAGCAUUUGCCUUUCUUCUCUAUGUAAAUAAAAGGUUGGAAUGAUUUCAAGACCCUCAACAAAAGAAUGGAUUAAGGUGACAUUUUUAUUCGCUAUGAAAAAUAGUUUUGUUGUUUUUUUUUUUUUUUGUUUUUGUCGCUAAUAAAUUUUGCUCAUUAAGUUCUUGUUUGAUGUGCCCUUGUUAGAACACUAUAAUAGUUGUUCUUUUUGGGUUAAUGGUCUCAAUCAUGAAUUGAUAAAAUUUCAUAUCCUUUUUCUUUUGGAUUCCAAGCUCGGUUUUUUCUUAAUCAUUGUGGAAGACGAAGCGGUUCGCUAGCCUCUACAUCUAUAGAUCCUACGUAAUAAUUAAACUUGGUGGUGGCUCGUUGUUUGAUGAGUGAUUCCUUGAUCACUAGAUCUCGAGAUUCCACCUUAUUCUUGGUUGAUUGGCAUUCUUGUAAGCUAAUCUUGCAUACUAAUUCUAGGGGUCCUAGGUGAUGCACCAACCAAAGAAUGUUUAUUCCCUUAGCCAUAAAACAUGAGAUUGGCAAUGCUUGUUGCUCAUUAGUCUGUCAUUAAUAAGAUUUCUAGCUAUUGUUUUUAUUUCACUUACAAGUAAAGUCUUGUUCUAUGUUAGUGACAUAUAAAACUAAGACACUCCUCACUUUCCAAACACCAAUUUUUUGAAGAGUUUUUCAUAGCACUUUUCAUACAUCUAUGUAGAGGAAAUUUUCAAAGCUUAAGCUAUCCAUGACCUUUCUAAAAAGUGCACGCCCAGUGAGAUUCACUAGCAUUAAAUCUUGGAGGUAUAAUAUUAAUACCUUAAUACAUUGGGUUUGUCUUUGAGAUGGUUGGAUUUUUUUCAAGGAUAGAGCUUGUCAUGCCUUAGCUCAUAACCAAUAAGUUUUCUUGUUAUUCGUUUUAUUCUUUUUGUGUUUUUUACGUAAGUCCUUUGUUUUCAUACCCUUGGUAAACUUUUUAGCAAUGUUUUAUUUUGAAUACCAUAAGUUCUUCUCCCAUUCUCUUUACUGCAAACUUUGACAAAAAAAAAAAGGUUUUGCCCAAACUUUUAGAAGUUUUCUAUUUCAUUCCUAGGUGUGUGAGAGAGAUUUGUAACUCUCAAGUAAGAUUUAGGGAUAAGAGCUAUCAUGAGAAUUUGUACACUAAUGGUUUUAUAGUGGACUUAAGUUUUGUGAUGUCUGGUAGUUUUUACAUUGGCAUAAUCUUUUGGACAACUUUAAAUUAAUAUUCUCAUAAACUUUAUUAUCAUAAAUAUUUUGGGCUAAAGGGAAGUAAAUGCUGUAAAAAAUGUUAGUGUUGCACAAUUUAUUUUACUAUAACUGUAAGUAACUGAUUUAUUUUACUUAAUGUGAAUAUAAUGGGGCUCACGGUUGCCAUUUUGGAUAUGUUGGUUCUAUGAUAGUAAGGUUAGGAAGGCAACCAAAUAAUGAUGUCUCAAACAAAAAAUGUUCAAAAUUAUAUCAUGCCUUGUUUAAUUUAUAAAAAUAAAUAAGUAAAUGUGUUUUUAUGUUAGCUAUAUUGAAACGGUAAUCAAGAUAUGGAAUUAGUCUCUUGGACGGACUAUAAUGUAAAACCAAAGACAAUUCUAAUAGAAAAAGCACUGUCACAUUCCAAUCAAAAUUUGAACACUCCAUCCGCAAAUGAAAAGCUAACAUGUCCCAAGAUUAUAAAGUCAUUAUUGGUUUCGGAUGCCAAUGGUUCUAAGCCUUGUGUCUUCCCUAUAAACUAAAAUUGAUGUCUUUUAGUCCUUACUAUGUGACAAUCCCAGUCUUGUGCAUGGAGAAAGGAUCAAGCUUCAAUUGGUAGCACGGUUUGUAGAGGUGUAUGCGCAACUUGCAGAUGAGAUCGUACUCUUAUGGGUGGAAUAGCGCAUAGUGUUGCUGGUUGAUCUGCCAGUGAACUAGCUUGUAGAAUCACGAGUGUUGAUAGUCAAUCUAUCGUACAACCUGAAUCUCUUUAAGCUAAUAAUCUUAUGGCUUUUUAUGAUAUUACGCUGGUGGAGAAAUAUUUUGUUUAAGAAUUCAAUAUGAUGUUUCUAGUGGAUUGGUGUGCUUGAAUGUUGUGCAUUGUCAAUGUUUGCUUUAAUUGUCGUAAUUGGAGUGAAUUUUGGGGAAUCAGAUAGUAAGAAAUGAGCCUUUUGCAUGGGAAGGCAAUGCUGCUGGAGAACCAAAUUUCCUUUGAAGUUAGCGAUAGAGUGAUAGUGGUGUUUUCAUUCUUGCAAAAAUUGAAGAAUUUUUGGUUUGUCGUGAUCAUGCAAAUUAUUAAUGGGAAACAUAAUCGAAAGCUUGAUGGAAGGUGGAUGCCAACCAAUGGUGGAUAGUAGGGACCAAAUGAUUGUGAUGUGUAUAGGUAUAAGCAUCUGCUUGAUCUAUACCAAAGUAUAAAAUUGAUGGUAUAGGAUCAUUCGGAGAUUUGGUCCUAGAGUUUAUGGUCUUAUCAUUUGAAGAUGAAAACGACCAGUUGUGGUCGUUGGAAUCUACAUGAAGCAUAGUCCUACAAGUUAUUAUUUUAACAUUAUUAAGUUAUUAAUGAAUAAAAUAUUUAUUUAUAAUAUUUUCUGUAUAUCAAUUUAUAUUUGUUGAAAUAAUAUUAGAUUUUUUAGCUUAAAAAAAAUGUAGUCACAAUUGUGAAGUGAGGGUUUAGUUAAAAAAAUGGAGUCUCUAUUAACAAUUGUGGUUUCAAUUAAAAAAUGAAGACUCGUUGUCAGUACGGUUUUAAAAAUUGAAUUGGAUUGGUUGGUUGGAAUGUCGGUCAAUUUGAAUGGUUCAAACGUCCUUCGGUCGCCGUUUUGUUUGGUUCAAACGUCCUUCGGUCGCCAUUUUGUCUAGUUCGGUCAUUUAAGAAGGAAAGUGUUUGAAGCAGAAUUAGGCUAGUUAAAUUGGUGGUUGGAUCAUCGAAUAAAUCAAAGGGUUCCCUUCGAAUCGUACGAGUGAAUAUUUUUUUGUUUUUUUUCCAUUGUUGUCGUCUCUCGUCAGUUGGACCCCCACCUUGCGCUGGAAAAGCCCCCUCUUGCCGUCCCCGUUGCUAGAAAAGCACUUUGUGUUGCAAAGUCACCACCCUCGUGACGUUGUUGAGACCUCGCACCCCACGCCUCAUCUUAUUGUUCCUCGCCAACAGAACCCCCACCACCCUGUAAAGCCGUUGCCAUCUUCACCCUGGAAACCCCAUCCUCUAGGAGAGAAGGAAUUCUUAAAAGGAGAGUUUAUAGAGAGGGGAGAGGAGGGGGGAGAGAGAGAGAAGAAGCGUGCAGUGACAGCACAGAGAUUUUGUAUCAGACGGAGUAGAAAUGAGGGAGGUGAGUUCACUUUUCAAAUAUUAAAUUUAAUUUUCUCAUUCUUGUCUUCAAUAUACGUGUUAUUAUAUUUUGUAUCUUGAUUUUACAAAACAUUAUUCAGUUACAGAAAGAGAAAUGGGAAAAGUUUUAUUAUUAACACAAGUUUCAUUUGUUACAUCUAAUAUAUUUUUUAUACAUGGCUUAUUUUGACUAAAAACUCCCUUGAAACAGUGUAGAGAUAUCUAGCGGUAUUCUUUCUGACUAUCUCAUUCUCCUCGUAACAAAUAACAAUGGCAGGGAACAUGGUCAUCCUUCAAAUGGAGGAGCAGUGGGAAUCAUUCCCGGUUGGUAGUGAUCAUAUGAGAGCCUUGAUUGAUUUAAAAUCCAGAUUUCAUCGACUAGAACUUGAAGUGGAAUCUGAAUCUUCGUUAUCAUCAAGUGUAAAGCUGCAAUGUCCUAAAUUGGAACAUAGAUUUGGUUGAGUUAUCAAUGGUGAUGGGAGGAAUUCUCAGGCAUGCGGUGGUCUCAUUUAAACUUAAAGAAAUGUCCCUCAUGUGACAUGUAAGACUGCGCUUGAUGCGGAUUCCAACGUCCAUCAAUUCCUUCUCAUUUCUAAAUGAUGUCAUAACCUCUCUGACAUCUCUAAUUGAUGCAUAUCUAGCAUACAACCAAUCCAACUAUCCAAUAACGAAGGACCUUCCAAAUUUUUCAUUUUAACGAUGCGUUGGGCUGCUAGAAUGUUCAUCACCUAGGAUAAUUCUUCGGAAGAGAUCGAGUAGACGAUGACAAGGCUUUGACUCGUUCUUAGGACUUUGCGACUUCAAUUUGGGGCCAAUAAUUUUGUUGUAUGGGAAGAACAGGCUGGGGUAAUAAUUCUUCAUUUUUUGCAGCAAGGACUCCCUCGUACCUAUAAAUUCCUGUAAUAUUGACUCGUCGUUAAUGCCGAAGAAUUCCUGGAACACUGGCAUCCAAAAAAAACCCACCGCUCCUGAACUCACCUUCUUCAUCAGCUUCAAAAAAUAAUUUUUAAAUAUAAAGUUAAAUAGAUAACUUAUUCUUAAUCUUAAACAUAUUUUCUUUCAUUUGUCCAUAUUUAAUAAAAACAUAUUUUAUAACUAUGACUUUACAUCCAUAAAUUAUUUUUUUAUACAACAUAUUAUAUAAUUAUGUUAUACAUUUAAAAUACUUUAAACAUAGAUAUUUAACAAAUACAUUUAUAACUUAAGAUGAAUAAAAGUAAAUAUAAGUUUAAAUUAAUGAACAAAUAUUAUUUAAAAUUAAUGAGAAUAAAUACGAUUAAUUUAAUUAUUUAAAAUAAAUUUUAAGUUAAUUUUAUUCAAUAAUCUUAAUAUUUAAAUUUAAAAAUAAGUUUUAAGUCAAUAUUAACUUAAAUUGUUAAGUAAUAGUAAUAAGUUUUACCCAACAUCUUUUUAAUUAUUGAAUUCAUAUUUCUUUUAUCAUUUCUCUUAUCCAAUUAAAAUUAUUAGAAAUCCAUCCAUUUAUGUUUUCUAUUUAAUCUCUUUAGCAAACUCGUCAUGUUUGAGUAGUUAAAUUAAAUCUUAUGUUUCCUCUCUCUUUGGGAUUUGAGAAAAAAAAAUCGAUAAUUUUAAAAAACAUUUAUUAAAAUAUGAUAGUUUUAAAAAUAUUUUAAAAUUUAUAAUAGCAAAGCAAAAAUCCAAUUGGAAAUAUUUUUGAAGCACCAUAUUUUAAUAAAUAUUAAAAAAUGGUUUUUUUUUUCCCCUCAAAAUCCCCAUCUUGGCUCUUGAGCAUUGCCCUCCCACUUCUAGUUAAUUUGUAACCACAUGUUUCAAUUUUGUUUAUUGAUGAGACAUUUCAAUAAUAUCCGAAUUGCCUUCACAGGUUUGGACGUUUCUUUGCCUUGUAUCUCGGCUAAGGAUAAUCUAGUUUUUUCUUAUCAUGUAUCACGUAAUGUUAUGGGAAAUUGUCUUAAACAAAAAUAUUGUUCAACAUUUAAUAUCCAUUAGACUUAAUUUCAUUCACCUUCCCUUAGAUUUUUGUUAAUACAUUUUAUUCUUAUAAAUUAAAAUUUCAUCAAAUAUAUAUUUUAUUUCUUUUUAUUUUUUAUUUUCACUCACCUUCUUUCUCAUUUAAAAUAAAUAAAGUAUUUGAUAAAAUUUCAAACUUAUAAAUACCAGAUAAAACUAGUCAAAACCUCAAGAAAAUGAAAUUAACUCAAUCCCAUUGUAAAUUCUCGUAUGAUUAAAUAUUAAGAUGAAUACGACAUAUCUUUAAGAUGAGUAUAAAUAAAUAUAAUAUCAAAUUAUAUAUAAAAAGGAUAGUUUAAAUUAAAUAAUCAAUUUAAUUUUCAAAUAAAAUGAUUAAUGUCAUUUUAACAUAUACGUGAUAUCGACUCCUACAUGUAUGGUUUAAUUUAAUGUUACCCACAUAGCUAUUCCAAAAUUAAAAUUUUUACUUACCCCUACGAUGUUAAGGCGGAGUAAUUGAUCAUACAAUGCAUAAUAAUUAUUUUCUUCAUUAGAUUAAAUAAUACAAAUUACAUAUACGAAUGAGAUUAUUUAGAUGGGAUUUCUAAUUAAUGAUCCAGCUUAGGUGUGAACUUAAAUUAUGUGUUUGUUGGAAACCCUUGUGAUGGAAUAAAAUUUCAUCCUUUUAUACUUGUAUUUAUUUUUUUUGAAGAACAAGUUUGACUUUUCCUUUAUAAUAAACAUUAAGUCUUUUUUUAAAGGGUAAAUAAGACUUUAAUAAUGUUAAUUGUUAAGUGAAGUGUGAACAUCUCCUCCAUGUGAACAACUGGAGCAUCUUUUACCUACAACUUAUAUGUAUUGUCUCGUUGUUCACAUGAAACAAUAAAUAGUGUAAGUCAAAUUCUCAUUACAAAUAUAAAAUUGCAUUAAUUCUCUAUUAUUAUUAAUCUUGGAUAUUGCACCAACAAAAACUGAGAUUAUAAUUAAAUAAAUCCAAAUCAGACAGCACUGAGCCUCUUUGUUGUCAUUUUUUUCAACCUUGGUGCCAAUCAUAAGUCCGGUAUUAAUUUAAUCAUGAUAUGAUCUUGAUUCAUUGAUUACAAUAUAGUUUAUUUGUGGUAGAAUUUUGGGAAAAUUAAUAUAAAAAAUAUGUGAGGAGGAAUCUUUUAUGGAUGGUUCAGGGAGAAGAGGCAAAUGAAGAUGUCCCAGAAAUGAAUUGGUGAUCAAAUAAUCCAAGAAAAAAAGCAUCAAAUCUAUGAUAUGUAUAAUGAAAGAUGUAUUUAAGUAAAUAAAUAAGCUCGUGUUAGGCAUGAACCCUUCCCAAAACCAAGGAGACACGCAUUAGCCUAUUUUAUGUGCUUCACUUGCUGUAUAUUAGUAGGUGUAUGAAUAGAUUAAUCUUUCUGAAGAAAAAAAAAAAAGAAAGAGAAGAAGACUUGAGUGCUCCUUUUUAAAUGACUUUCCCUUUGGAUAUCGUUAUAUCAACAAGGACUAGCUGACAGCAGCCUGUUGCUUACUCGAUUGGAAUUAUGGAGCUUGCAUGCAAUGAGCUGGUGAUUCAUAUUUCACAGGUCUGAUGUGGAUGAACUUUUUUCUUUCUUUUCUUUUAAUAAAUGAUAAGAAUAUCUCACUUAUAAAACAAAAAGAGAAAAUUAGACUAUGCGUGGAAACUAUUCUCAACAAUAAUUUUUUGUUUUUUAAACAUAAAAAAAAAAAUAUGAAAACACAUUUGCCUGUAAUUAUUUCUAAAAUAGGUUACUGAUGAUAUCUUUUAAUUAUUUUUGGUUAAUUUUAUUUUUUAUUUAGAGCUAUUUUUAAAUGUAAUUUUAGAAAUAUGAAAAAUGAUUAAAAUAUAUAAAAGGGUACAUAAAAGAAUAUUUUGAAAACAUAGAAAAUAAAUUGACAAUAUUUAAAAUUACCAAAGAAGCUUUUAUUAUACCAUCGUAAAAUUAUUUUUGAUAAUUAAUCUCAAAAACCAUCUUUUUAUAACUAUUUUGAAAAAUAUUCUCUAAUUAACAAACCUUAUGCUUUUAAGGAGGAUAAGGUAAAAUUUUAAUAAAAAAUAUAAAAUAUGAAUAUUAAUAUUUUAGUAAAGUUAUAAAUUAUAUUUUUUUUAUUAAAAAUAAAUAUUUUUUUUAGAAAAUGAUAAUAGUUAAUAAUAUCUUAUUUAAACUGAAUUAUGAAAAUAAGUAUAAUUUAUUUUUCAAAAUAAGCAAUAAAUUAAUCAAGUUUUGAUCACGUACACAUGUUUAUUCCCUAGUUACAAGUAUUCUGAACCAGUUCAAUCCCACAAAAUUUUUAUAAUAAUUAGCAUAAUUUUUUAGUUUUAAUUUAUUUUUAAAAUAAAAGCAUGGAACUAGAUUGAAUCUUUCUUGGGAAUCCCUAGCAAUGCUGGAGGCUGUGGAGUGGCGGGAAAUCAGGGUCAAUUUCAAUCAAACGUGUAUCUCUUUGCAUGUUUAAAAAAAAAAAAAAAAACCACUUAGUCAUUAAUUGUUACAAGCUGUCCAUAUACUAUUCCACCACUUAUCCUGACGGAAUACUUAAAUUAAAUCCUACGUCAUCAUGUUCAACAUGUCUCUACCACUUUCUAAUUGGUAGCCACAAGUUUUCAAUUCCAUUUAUUAAUAAUAAAUUGAAAACAAAAUCAAACUUUCAAAUACUCGCAACAACGUAUGUGAUUUUUUUUCAUCAAAUAAAUCCAUAAAAAGAAUAGUCUCAUUACUAUUAUUUUUUAUUAAAAGAAAAAAAAAAUUCUCGAUAAAAAAUUCAAUUAACUAUUUUCUGGACACCCAAAGCGUUACACCAAGGGGAAAAGAAAAGGAUCAUACAAGUUAAAGUUAAUUAAUUUGACAAAAAAAAAUCAAAUUUGUUUCAUCAUCUCCCAUUAUUAUUUCUAGGAAGAUGUGGUGUGGUGUGACGUAGAACUAAUUAGCUCUUAACAAACAAAUUGAGCAAAAAAUAAUAUCCAAAUUAUGUCCUAUAUAUACCAGUUUAGGCUAGGGGUGUAUAGAGUAGAGAGAUAUCUAGUAGUACUCCCUCUGCCUAUCUCAUUCUCCUCCUAAGUCCUAACAAAUAACAAUGGCCGGGAACGAGGUGGUCCUUCAAAUGGAGGAGCACCGGAAAGUAGUCGCUGAUCAGUUUGGAAAACCUGCGGAUGGCAGUGAUCAUAUGAAAGCCUUGGCUGACUUAAAAUCCAAAUUUCGUCGACUAGAAAAUGAAGAGGAAUCUGAAUCUCCAUUAUCAUCAAGUGUAAAGCCACAACGUCCCUUAUCAUCAAGUGUAAAGCCACAAUGUCCCAUGGUUCCAAAGAGGUUGCGACCAGAUGUCAAGGGUGCUGAAGACUACUACUAUGCGCCAAAACUCAUUUCUUUGGGUCCUUACCACCAUGGCAAGCCCCACCUCAAGGAUGGAGAAACGCUCAAGCUUAAAUUGGCAGAAGCCUACAUCCAAGAAUGUGAGCCAACAGUGGAUGAAAUUUACAACACAAUUAGCGAUAGCAUUAGUGAGCUGAGGGGCUGUUAUGAUGCGGAGUCGACAAAGAAAUAUAAGGAUGACGAAUUAACCAUCAUGAUGCUGGUGGACGGGUGUGCUCUACUCUGUUACAUUUUAUGCGUUUGCUUAGGUUAUGGCCAUGAAGAUUUCAAUAUCAGAUAUCAGGAUAUAAGCCUUCUGCACCAGGAUGCGUUGCUGCUGGAAAACCAACUUCCCUAUCAAUUACUCCUUGAGCUGAUGAAGAUGGUGGACCCAGGAUCAGCCAAUGAUUUUUGGACGGCCAUGUUCCAGGAAUUCUUCGGCAUCAGCGACGAGUCAAUAUUUCAGGAAUUUAUCGGUAUGAAGAAGAAGGAGUCAUUCCUGCAAAAAAUGAAGAAUUAUUGCCCCCGCCUAUUCCUCCCAAUCAACCAAAUUAUUGACCCCAAAUCGAAGCCGCAAAGUCCUAAUAACGAGUCAAAGCCUUGUCAUCAUCUCCUCGAUCUCUUCCGAAGAAAUUUCCUAGGCGAUGAACGUUCCGGCAGCCCAACGCACCCAGAAAAUGAAAAUUUGGAAGGUCCUUCGUCAUCGGAAACUGAAAUUGGCCGGAGGCUGGGUAGAGCAUCAGUUAGAGAUGUGAAGGAGGUUAUGGCAUCAUUUAGAAAUGUGAAGGAGCUGAUGGACGCUGGAAUCCGCAUCAAGCGCAGUCCUACACGUCACUUGAGGGACAUUUCUUUCCGUUCAAAUGGGAUCACCGCAUGCCUGAGAAUUCCUCCCAUCACCAUUGAUAACUCAACCAAGGCUAUGUUCUUGAACUUGAUAGCCUAUGAAAUGAGCUCAGACGUCGACCAUGACUUCAUCUCUUACCUUCGCUUCCUUGAUUCCCUCAUUGAUCAUGCUGAUGACGUUAAGGAGCUGCAGUCCAUCGGGAUACUCCAAAACAAUCUAGGAACCCACGACGAAGUAGCUCAAUUCUUCAACACCGUGUCCGCCAACUUGGAAUCCAACUUUCAUGCUUACAAAGACGUGAGAGUGAAAAUUCGGAAGCACCUUCAGAGUCACUAUAACAGCAAACUGACAAUGUGGAUGACACAAUGCCUGGACACCUAUUUCGGUAGCCCCUGGACUAUCAUAGCUUGGGUUGGUGCAGCUUUGGCCCUAUUCCUUACUUUCGUCCAGACUUACUUCUCAGUCUUCCCUCAUUGAUGCAUGCCUGCCCUCUUUUCAACUAUCACCGUCUCAAUUAAGGUAAUAUCCACUCCAAAUUUCCUUGUUCUUCUUGCUAUCUGCAUUUUACCUAGUCCAUGUAAAUUAAGCAAAGACUCAUUGGCUUCAUGCGCUUUUGACCUUACCUAUUUUGUGUUUUUGGUUUCAGCCUAUUUUCUACAUUGCUUUCCGUGCUUAAAUUAAGUAACGAAUGAAUAUGUAGUGUGACCUUAGUUUGGUGAUUUUGUGCUUUCGCAAGCAUGUGCUAUGCUUAUAUAUAUGCAUCAUCAGCAAUAUUAUGUUUGAUUUAAGUACGUAAAUAAAGAUAGAUAUAGGUGGAAUAUUUUUUUUUCUAUGUUUAUAUUCCUGUUAAUGUAUUAUAUAUAUGUUAGGUCUGGCAAUUUUUUAUCUCAUACCAUUUUUAAUUAAAUCAUUUUUAAACUAUAGUUACUAAGCCAAAAAUUAUAAUGCUCUAGAAAUAUAAUCAAUCUCAUUGUCGAAUUUUUCUAAACUAAUCUCAGAAUAAGCUCGAUAUCUCUAACAAUAUAUUAUUUAAGGCACAUAAUAUUCCAAAAAAAAUUCUGCAAAAGAAAAAGAAAUUUGUUGAGAAGUGGUUUAUUUUAGUUGAUCUCUUAUUAUAUUUAGGAAUAUGGACAAAAUGUUAUAUUUAGGAAUAUGAACAAAACAACAUUUUGUCCGAUAGAAAUUUACCCAUCAAUAUGAAUGGAUAGAAAUUUACCCAUCAACAUGAAUGGUAUGGAAAUUUGACUAAUGCUUGUAAGAUCGGAUUUGUAAAUAUUUGUGGGUGAGUUUCUUUUGACAACCGAUGGACAAAUUCAUGUCAUGUAAGACUUAUUUGACAACAUUCUAAAAUAAUGUUGCUAAAAAUAUUUAAGAAUAGUUCUGAAAAUAUGUUUUACCUGUUUUUAGGAAUAAAAUUCUAACUUAUUUUGAGAAUAUUCUUAAAAAAAAAAGAAAAAAAAAAAGAGAGAAUGUUGUUAAAACUUGUUAAGAAUAUUUUUAAAAAUAUGUUUUAUUUGUUUUUAGGAAUAAAAUUCCAUUUAAGAAGCCUAGUCCUUCGCAAAGGCAUGUGCCACCAUCUAUAAUGGAAGAAGUUCACACCUAUUUUUCAUUUUUUUUUUGUUCUUUUUUUAAAACACUUGCAUAGCUUCUGGAUUAAAGUUCUUAAAGAUUAUUUUCAAAAUUUGAUGUAAUAAUUUAAAAAAAAAUUACUAUAAAUAUAUAUAUAUAUAUAUAGAGUUACUAUUAUUUUUAAUUUUACAAAAUAAAAAACAAAAAAUGUACCUAAAGGAUACCUUAAUUUCAACUUAUUAACUAUAUGUAAAAUUAAAAGUAUUUUUCUCCUUUUCAACUUGUUACAUACUUCAGUGCUUGUAUAUUGCUUCCAUACCAUAUGAUAAGAUGUGGCUAAAAUUGAUCUUCAUGUCAAGAAUUGGAAGCCUUCAAUAUGUUGUAAUUGCUUAAAAGAUUUCGCUUUGAGUUAUGUUUCUUGUGGGGUGAUGGCAAAGAAAACCAACAAAUUAAUAGAAAAACUAUAAAUAUAAUUCAGAAUUAAGGAAAAAAGAAAUACAAUAUUGAAGGUGCAGUAGAAUAAAAAGGAGUGUGGGCAUGAAUGAUAUGUAAAAACUCACCCAAUAGAAUCCUUUAUGAAGUAAAUAUUUUCAUAUCAUACGAUCCAAUGUUAAUCCUUCAUAACCUAUGGAACUGUAGAACCUUGAGAGGAAAAAAGCCACUCACAAAUUAUGACACAAACAGAAACUAGGAACAGUGGAAGAAAAUUGAAAAACUGAUCUCCCUUUCCGAGUCCAGCAACAAAAUUAGUGUCCAACCUUAAAAUGGGCAUGUGUGGUAUUGACGAGAGAUGCUAAGAUGGAAAUCAUAACCAUAGUCAUGUUCUCUCUGUGUCUUUGUGUCUUUCUAACCCACUUUUUUUAAGAAAAUAAUAGACCAAGACUAUAAUUAUCAAUUAUGACUUUAUUGUUUAAUUUAUAUUCUUUAACAAUUUUUUUAUUUUUUUAAGAAUAAUUUGUUUUACUAUAAUGGUAGGUGAUGAAUUUAUUUUCUUAAUAAAAGGCCUCCCAAUAAGGCAAUAGUUUCAUGUUUUUUUUUUAUCCUCUGCUUUUGUUGCAACUCUUCUGCUUCCGACCUUUCAUUAACCUAAAUAUUAGAAGUUUCUAAUUCAGUCCAUUGCACUCCAGUUGUCUAAAUACGGAAGCUUCUUCCACGACCCAGUUGCACUUUGGAAAGUUAAGCUUAAGAUUUACGAAGUUUCUGAAAAUUACAGUUUAUUUAGUUUCUAAAAUCCAAUUAGCUAGAUAUUUUAUUUGAUUUCUUUUUAUAUUUAAGUAGUUGAGUUUUGGAAAGUUUUUAUAUUUUAUUAAUAGAAAAAAAAAAUUUAUAUUUUUUAUUAUUAGGAAUUUCUAUUUUGUUAAAUUGUAAGUAUCUAUCUCAAUAAGAGAUUAUUAAUAUUCGAAUGAAAGUGAUGAAAGAUAGUAAAUAUUUUAAUGCUCCUCAAUUAUAUUUUAAUGUUAUUUUUUUACAUGAGGGUUAAUUCAAUUUUAAUUUCAACAUGUAAUAUGUUAAAAAUAUUAUAAAAUAGAACUAUAAAGGAGUAUUUACUUAUUUUAUAAUAUUUUCAAUCUACAAUUUUCAAAAAUCAAUAUUUAAAAAAGGUAUUAAAACAUCCCUUCUCUUCAAUAUAAAAGCAUUAUUGUAACAUAUUGUGGACCCCGCAUUUUGCCCAAUGCGUUCCCACUCGAUGACAAAACUCGCUUUCUAUUUAUUUUGUGAAAAAUAUGAUUUUUUUCAAAAGACUUAGAGUCGCCACUUAUUUUUGUUUUAUUUUUAAAGGAAAAACAAAAUAAGAAAGAAAAACCCUAAAUGUGAUUCCUUAUUUGGAAAAAAUAGGUCUGUGAAAAAUCACGUCGGGUCCGAGGGUCAGGUUACUUAUUGGAAAAGUACGGUGGUGAGCCAUAACACCCCUCUAAGUCCAUAAAAACGGGUCUCUACUAAUAAAAUGAAGCAAACAUGACAAUUGGUAAGGAAAUCAAUGGAUACAAAAGUGAUCACAAAUUAAAAGUAAUCAUGAUAAUGAAUAAAUGAACGAAGUGAGAGCGAGAGUGUACCUUGGCAGCAGGUAAUAAAGCGUUAUUAUGAAACAAAGUUAGUGCACAAUAACAAAUACAAAAUAUAUCACAUGCAUGUCAAAUAUUAGAACAAAAAAAAAAAAAAUAUUCAUUAGGCAUAGCAAUUAACAAUCAGAAGAGAAAUCUCAUAUGUAGGGUCCCCCACCAAAGCCCAAUUUAUCUUGCAUGCAUUGGUCUCACAAAUUUUAUUAUUUCGAAAUUAUGAAAAAUUCAUUCUUACUUAUGAAAAAUCAAAAGAAACAGAAGAUUAUUUGAAAACCGGAGUGGAAUUAAAACUGUUCAAAAUUUGUUUGAAAAUUGGAGUCUCGAAAAUUAUUUGAAAAUUGGAGUCUUGGGAAUUAAAUUUAAGAAUUGGAAUUUUGGAAAUUAAAUUUGAAAGAAAUUGGAAUUUUUUAAAAUUAUUUAAGAAUUAGAGUUUUUAAAAUUAUAUUAAGGAAUUGGAACUUUAGAAAUUAAAUUUGAAAGAAAUUAGCAAAUUAUUUGAGAAUUAGAGUUAUGAAAAUUAAAUUAUGAAAAUUGGAAUCUUGGAAAUUAUUUGAAGAUGGAAAAAAUAAACAAAAUAAUAAUAGUAAUAAUAAAUAAAUAAAUAAAUAAAUGUGAAAAUUGGAAUUUCGGAAAUUGGAAAUUAAAUUCGGAAAUUGAAAAAUUGGAAUUUCAAAAAUUGAGAAUUAAAAUUGAAAAUCAGAAUUUUGAAGAAUUAUUUACAAAUGGAAUUUUAAAAAUAAAUUAAUUAAUUAAAUAAUGAUAAUAACGAAGAUAACAAUGAUUAAAUAAAUAAAUUUGAAAAUUAGAAUUUUGGAAAUUGGAAAUUAAAUUCGAAAAUUAGAAAAUUGGAAUUUAGGAAAUUCGGAAUUGAAUUUGGAAAUCGGAAUUUUGAAGAAUUAUUUAAAAAUAGAAUUUUAAAAAUAAAUUAAAUAAUGAUAAUAACGAAUAUGAUAAUGAUUAAAUAAAUAAAUAUGAAAAUUAGAAUUUUAGAAAUUGGAAAUUAAAUUCGGAAAAUUGUAAUUUAGGAAAUUGGAAAUUGAAUUUGGGAAUCGAAAUUUUGAAGAAUUAUUUAAAGAUGAAAUUUUAAAAAUAAAUAAAUUAAUUAAUUAAAUAAUGAUAAUAACGAAGAUAGCAAUGAUUAAAUAAAUAAAUUUGAAAAUUAGAAUUUUGGAAAUUGGAAAUUAAAUUCGGAAAUUGAAAAAUUGGAAUUUUGGAAAUUGGGAAUUGAAUUUGGAAAUCGGAAUUUUGAAGAAUUAUUUAAAGAUGAAAUUUUUGAAAACUUGAUUUAAAAGGAGAUGGAGUUUCAAAAAUUUAUUUGAAGGUGUCAUUUUAAAAAUUAAAUUUAGAAUUGUGGAAUUUUUGGAAGAUUAAAAUUAAAAUUUUGAAUUUGGGAAAAUUAAAUUUAAAGUUAGAGUUUUAGAAAAUUAUUUCAAGAAUUGAAUUUUGAAGAAUUAAAUUUAAAAUAUUGAAGUUUUGGAAAAUUGAACUUAAGAUCUGAAAUUUCGUAAACUAAAUUUAAAAAUCAAAUUUUACAAGAUUAUUUCGAAAAGGGUACUUAUAUAUAUAUAUAUAUAUAUAUAUUAAUAAAAUAAUAAAUAAAUAGAUAAAUAAAAAUAAAUAAAUAAAGCAAAUAAAAUGAAUGAAUAAAUGAAUAAAUUUGAAACUUUGGGAUUUUAGAAGAAUUAUUUGAUAACAGAAUUUAAAAAAAAAAUGAAAUUUUUAACAUGAAAAGUGGAAUUACGAAGAUGGCACGUGAAAGAAAAGAUAAAAAACUAAUAAUAAUUCACCAUGAGGCCACUGGACCCAUGCCACUAAUAAAAAAAAAACUCAUGCCUUUGACUUUUCAUUCACCAAUUGUUUAAACAAUUUCCUACUGUCAAUGAACCACCAAGAAGUGGAGUAAUGAAGCCCCACUUCUCCACGAAAAAAAAAAAAACACCAGUAUGUAUCUGACUAGUGAUGACAAACUGUGGUGGCGAACAAGGAUAGAAGACGAUGUAGAGUUUGGAAGGCCCCAAAUCACCACUUGGGAGACUUUGAAGAAGGAAUUGAAGGAUCAGUUCCUUCCCACCAACAUUGCUUGGGUGGCCAAAGAAGCGUUGAAAAGGGUCAAACACACCGGAUCUGUAAGGGACUACGUCAAGGAAUUCAGUUCCUUGAUGCUGGACAUAAAGAACAUGUCAGAUGAGGACAAGCUCUUCAAUUUCAUGUCUAGAUUGCAAGGGUGGGCUCAAACGGAACUUAGGAGGCAAGAGAUUCGUGAUCUCCCUGUUGCCAUGGUUGCAGCAGAUUGCCUGGUGGACUACAAGAUGGGUGGCGCCAUCUCCACCAUGUAGAGACCUAAGUCAGAAGGAGGUAAGAAGGCUAAGGUUGAGGGCAAGACUUCUAAGAAAUCUGGGUGGAAGAAACAGAACAAGAAGCCUGUUGUAGAGGGAAAACCAGUGGAAAAGACCAUAAAGUUUGUGCAGCAGACCACCCGGAUGGUAGGAUGUUUCAUCUGCAAUGGCCCUCAUCGAGCCAGAGACUGCCCCAAAAGAAAGAAACUCUCAGCCCUUGUGACUGUAGACGACAAGGGAGAGUCUGACUUAGAGACUCCUCUUAGAGUCAACCCACUGCAACUCCUGAACGUGAUUAAUGGUGAGACUCCAGUCCAUAAGUCCCUAAUGCAUGUCCAUGCAGUUGUAAAUGGUGUGCAGGUGAAGGCCUUGGUGGACAGUAGUGCCACGCACAACUUCGUGGCCACCAGAGAAGCAACCAGGUUGGGAUUGAAGUUGGAAGAGGAUACUAAUUAGAUCAAGGCAGUCAAUAGCAAAGCCCAGAAAAUCCAAGGGGUAGCAAAGAAUGUCCCCAUGCAAAUUAGUGACCGGAAGGGCACAUGCAACCUACUUUGUGUACCCUUGGACGACUUCAACUUGAUCAUCGGUGUAGAUUUCCUCUUGAGGGCUAAGGUGGCCUUGAUCCCACAUCUUGGUGGGCUGGUGGUGUUAGAAGAAAAGCAGUCUUAUUUCAUGAAGGCCUUGAGGGUGAAGGAUGGUGGCAAGGGUUAACAUGAGAUGCUGUCUACUAUCCAUUUGAAGAAGGGAUUGAAGAGGGGUCAGGAGACUUAUGUUACAACCUUGAUCGAGAUCAAGGAGAGAUAGUCUGUGGAAGUCCCUGAUUCAGUGGUCAAAAUCCUUAAGGAGUUCAGAGAUGUGAUGUCUGCAGAACUCCCCAAAGAAAUGCCACCUAGGCGGCCUAUUGACCACAAGAUUGAAUUGCUACCUGGAACAAAGGCCCCGGCUUAAGCUCCUUACAGGAUGCCUCCUGCGGAGUUGUUGGUGUUACGUAAGUAAUUGAAGGAACUGUUGGAUGCAGGCCUGAUCCAGCCCUCAAGGGCCCCAUAUGGUGCACCAAUGAUGUUCCAAAAGAAGCAUGAUGGCUCUCUCCGCAUGUGUGUAGAUUAUAGAGCUCUCAACAAGGUGACCAUCAAGAACAAGUACCCGAUCCCCUUGGCUGCCGAGCUGUUUGACAGAUUGUCAAAAGCCUCUUACUUCACCAAGUUGGACCUAAGAUCGACUACUGGCAAGUGCGAAUUGCAGUAAGAGAUGAGAAGAAUACCACCUGUGUAACUCGGUAUGGAUCAUACGAGUUUCUGGUAAUGCCAUUUNNNNNNNNNNNNNNNNNNNNNNNNNNNNNNNNNNNNNNNNNNNNNNNNNNNNNNNNNNNNNNNNNNNNNNNNNNNNNNNNNNNNNNNNNNNNNNNNNNNNUAAUGCCCCUGCUACAUUCUGCAAUUUGAUGAAUGAUGUUCUGUUUGAUUACUUAGAUGCAUUUGUGGUAGUGUAUCUAGAUGAUAUUGUGGUUUACAGUAAGACUCUAACAGAACAUGAGAAACACUUGAGAUUGGUGUUUCAGAGAUUGAGGGAGAACAUGCUUUAUGUAAAGCCAAAGAAAUGUGAGUUUGCUCAGGAGGAUAUCACAUUUCUAGGACACAAGAUCAGUGCAGGUCUGAUCAAGAUGGAUAAAGGCAAGGUGCAGGCUAUUAUGGAGUGGCCAGUCCUUAGCAAAGUGACUGAGUUGCGGUCCUUCCUUGGCUUGGCCAAUUACUACAGAAGGUUCAUUAAGGGGCAUUCAAAGAGGGUGUCUCCCCUUACUGACCUAUUGAAGAAGGACAACCAGUGGAGUGGAGCAUGUAGUGUCAGAUGGCCUUUGAAGGCUUGAAGGAAGCCAUCUCCACUGAGCUUGUGCUACGUUUGCCAGACUUAGACUUACCCUUUGAAGUCCAGACAAAUGCCUCAAAUAGAGCUUUGGGUGGAGUCUUGGUGCAAGAAGGGCACCCUAUGGCAUUUGAAAGUAGGAAGUUGAAUAAUGUUGAGCAGAGGUACUCCACUCAUGAGAAGGGGAUGAUAAUUGUGGUUCACUGCCUGCAGCAGUGGAGACACUACUUAUUGGGAAGCAUUUUUACAGUGGUCACUGAUAAUGUGGCCAACACCUUCUUCAAAACUCAAAAGAAGCUGAGUCCCAGACAAACACGAUGGUAGGAGUUCCUGGCCAACUUCAAAUUUGAAUGGCUGCAUCGACCAGGAAGACAUAACACUGUGGCUGAUGGCUUCAGUAGGAAAGAGGUGAUUGCCUACAUCAUGGCCCUCUCAGAAGUCAUCUUUGACUUCAAUAAGAAAAUCAAGCAAGUUGCAGAGUAGGAUGCUGCAUAUGGCAGGUUGAAGCGGCAAGUUAAGGAGGGUGUGAUAAGGAGGUAUUGGCUAGAGGGAGACCUCCUUGUGGCAAAAAGAGGAAGAUGGUAUGUUCCUGCAGGCGGCCUGAGAAAUGAAUUAUUGCAGAAAACUCAUGACGCAAAGUGGGCAGGUCAUUCCGGUGAAGAGAAGACUCUGGCACUGCUAGCCAUAUCCUACUAUUGACCUAAGAUGGGUGAGGAUGUCCAGGCAUAUGUGAAAUCCUAUCUGGUUUGUCAGAUGGACAAGACCAAGAUGAAGAAGGUUGUAGGGUUGCUACAACCCCUCUCCAUUCCAGAGAAACCUUAGGAGAGCAUUUCCAUGGAUUUCAUCACUGGAUUUCCAAAGGUUUGUGACUUUAAAUCUAUCUUUGUUGUUGUAGAUAGAUUCUUUAAGUAUGUUGUGUUUAUACCUGCCUCUGAUGCUUGCUCUACGGAGGAAGCGACUAAGUUGUUUUUCAGUAAUGUUGUCAAGCACUUUGGGUUGCCUAGGGACAUAGUCAAUGAUCGAGAUGCACGGUUCAUAGGCCGAUUUUGGGUUGAGUUGUUCAAACUCUUGGGUUCAUAGUUGAAGUUUUCUACAGCCAACUACCCUCAUACUGUCGGUACUCGCACGGAUUCUACCAUUUCCCGGUAUUCGCCGGGAUUUUACGAUUUUUCGUUAUUCGCUCGGAUUCUACCAUUUUCAUUUAGUCACACUGAUUCAACCCUUUUCCGGUACUCGCCCGAACAGUUUUUCGGUACUCGCACGGAUUCUACCAUUUCCCGGUAUUCGUUGGGAUUUUACGAUUUUUCGGUAUUCGCCCGGAUUCUACCAUUUUCAUUCAGUCACACUGAUUCAACCCUUUUCCGAUACUCGCCCGGAGAGUUUUUCGGUAUUCGCACGGAUUCUACCAUUUCCCGGUAUUCGCCGGGAUUUUACGAUUUUUCGGUAUUCGCUCGGAUUCUACCAUUGUCAUUUAGUCACACUGAUUGAACCCUUAUCCGGUACUCGCCUGGAGAGUUUUUCGAUACUCGCACGGAUUCUACCAUUUCCCAGUAUUCGGUUGGAUUUUACGAUUUUUCGGUAUUCGCUCGGAUUCUACCAUUUUCAUUUAGUCACACUGAUUCAACCCUUUUUCGGUACUCGCCCGAACAGUUUUUCAGUAGUCGCACGGAUUCUACCAUUUCCUGGUAUUCGUUGGGAUUUUACGAUUUUUCGGUAUUCGCUCGGAUUCUACCAUUGUCAUUUAGUCACACUGAUUGAACCCUUAUCCGGUACUCGCCUGAAGAGUUUUUCGAUACUCGCACGGAUUCUACCAUUUCCCGGUAUUCGGUUGGAUUUUACNNNNNNNNNNNNNNNNNNNNNNNNNNNNNNNNNNNNNNNNNNNNNNNNNNNNNNNNNNNNNNNNNNNNNNNNNNNNNNNNNNNNNNNNNNNNNNNNNNNNCAUGACGCAAAGUGGGCAGGUCAUUCCGGUGAAGAGAAGACUCUGGCACUGCUAGCCAUAUCCUACUAUUGACCUAAGAUGGGUGAGGAUGUCCAGGCAUAUGUGAAAUCCUAUCUGGUUUGUCAGAUGGACAAGACCAAGAUGAAGAAGGUUGUAGGGUUGCUACAACCCCUCUCCAUUCCAGAGAAACCUUAGGAGAGCAUUUCCAUGGAUUUCAUCACUGGAUUUCCAAAGGUUUGUGACUUUAAAUCUAUCUUUGUUGUUGUAGAUAGAUUCUUUAAGUAUGUUGUGUUUAUACCUGCCUCUGAUGCUUGCUCUACGGAGGAAGCGACUAAGUUGUUUUUCAGUAAUGUUGUCAAGCACUUUGGGUUGCCUAGGGACAUAGUCAAUGAUCGAGAUGCACGGUUCAUAGGCCGAUUUUGGGUUGAGUUGUUCAAACUCUUGGGUUCAUAGUUGAAGUUUUCUACAGCCAACUACCCUCAUACUGAUGGGCAGACUGAGAGAAUCAACGCCUUGCUGGAAGAAUACCUCAAGCAUUAUGUGACAGCAAUACAAAAGAAUUGGGUGGAUUUGUUAGAUACUGCCUAGUUGUGUUAUAAUCUGCAGAGGAGCUCAACAACAAGGAUGAGUCCCUUUGAGCUGGCUAUUGGGGUACAGCCACAGAUGCCUUUGGAGGUAGCUAAGCAAAAAGCAGAAGGAGGUAGUCCUGCAGCUUACAAGAUGGCUCAAUCCCGGCAUGAGAUGUUUGAUGAAGCCCGGGACAGUCUAGAGAAGGCAGUUAGAUGAAUGAAGAAGUAUGCGGAUCAUGACCGCAAAUCCUUGGAAUUUUAGGUUGGGGACAAGGUCCUCUUGAAAUUGACUCAUAAGAUAUGGAAGAAAAUCAGUAGCAAGACAAGGCAGAGGAGUCUAAUUCCUAAGUAUGAUGGACCAUUCGAGGUGAUAAAACGAGUUGGGCAGAUGACCUACAUGUUGAAGCUGCCUGAGAGGCUCAAGCUUCACCUAACUUUCCAUGUUAGCUUUCUAAAUCUUUACCAUGAGGAUCUGGAUGUAGAGAGAGUGCAAAUAAAGCGGGCCCUUCUCUUGGUCAUGAAGCAGUUUGAUCGAGAGAUAGAGAAAAUCUUAAAUCAUAGGACCAUGGGACAUAGCAGAAAGAACCGACGAACUGAUUUCUUGGUUUAGUGGAAGUGGACUUCAAAAGUAGAAGCUACAUGGGAGAGGAAUGUUACCUUAUGGCAAUUUGAGACGGCGGUCCAAACAUAUUGGUAGACUAAGUCGACGAGGGUGUCAACUUCAAUAGGCGGGGGUGGGUUUGUCAGCCCCUUAACCACUUGACUCUACCAUGGAGGAAAAGGCCUCAUGGGUAAACCUUGCACCCAUGAGAGCCUAGACGGAGAAAGCAAGGAAGACUUAGAGGUUUGGUGGUUCAAACUCCAAGAGCUAAGUGAGAAGGCCAUGUGUGAGCUAGACACGCACCGUGGACGAGCCUGACGCACACCGUGCGUGCAUCGCGAGCGAGUCAAACAAGCACCGCGUGCGCAUUAGAUGGGCACCGCGUGCACACUAGAUGGGCAUCGCGCGCGCACCAAUCUUAGGUAGUGCAGAUGAAGGCUGAAGGCUACUUUUGGAAUUUAAUUUAUAUUUAUUUAAUAUUCCAUUAUGUCUCAUCAGGCAUAUUAAUGUCUCCUCCAGAAACAAUGAAAACGACUUGUAUUACUCUUUAGGGGGGGGGGGGGGGGGGGGGGGGGGGGGGGGAGGAGGUAAGCAACUCAAAAAGGGAAGCACCAAGGGAAAGCCUUGACCGCACCAAGAGGGCACCAUGACACGACCUUGGGCGUGCCUAGGACACACGGAUAGGACUCGAGCACGCACACAUGGGCUCCACGACAUGUGUGGUGUGCACCACGUGGCCACAACGGCACGGGGCCUGGUGCGGCCUACCUCCUCCUCGUGUAGGCAUGAGGACGCCUAAACCUUGUGCAGUGAGCCAGUUGAGGAAGUCAUGGGCGCAAUACCAUGGCUUGAUGGGGCAUUAAACAACAAUUGACUAGCACCCAUGAUGCCUACGUACAGCACAAGGGCGCAAUGCCCUGUGCACUAAGAGGGAUCAGUCAUGAACGCAAUGUCAUGGCUCGUUGCUAUGAAGUUGGACCUCACAUUGGAAGCAAGCAACAUGCCCAAGCCAUGGGCACCUAAACAUGACAUGGGCUCACAUAUCAGUGUGGGGAAGACACACUGAUGCACCAGACACUUGGUCAGCUGGUUGGUGCACGUUGCCUAGUUCUGAAGGCCUUGAUCAAAGACACGCUGGUGGGCACCAGGUCAUAAGAGGCACCUUGCGGGAAAGGAGGCAACUUGUUAAGGGGACUCUUCAGCAGCUUGGUGAGAAAGGCUUGAGGAGAUGGCAAUGCAACAAGCUAGUGGCAGCUAGUUGGGAUAGCAAGUGAUCAAGUCAAGCAGCCAAUUGACUUGCAGUUGGCUGAGGUGUUGAUGGCUGGUGCAAGUGGGUGGUUCACGAGCAGGCCACUAUCUGGGUGGUGGGUGGUUAUGCAGGACAGUUAUGGGCGCAUUUGGCCAAUUGCAUAACCACUAGAUUGGCUUCAACUUUUAAAUUUGGUAAUUCAAAAAUGUAACUGCAGAAUGAGUCUUUUAAAAGGGCUCCUGCAUCCUUGAAAUAGAGAGUGAGAGAUUGGGAUAGGGUUCUCUUAAUGCUUGGGGUGUGAAGUAUUGUACUAUGACUCAGGGGAAACAAUUUUGUCUUGUAGAGUGAAUUAAUACAAGUUGGGAAAGGUUUCCUGUAAAUCGUUGGUGUCCCUGUUACUGUGCUUUUACUUUGCUUUUACUCUAUUUUUGAAAAGGCUGGGAAGGAAGGUUGGCUAAGGAAGGGUCCUUAGCACCGCACACUCGUGAAAAAUUUAGUGUGAUCUUCAGGGGGGUGUAACAGUGAGUAUAGUGUCGGGUUUGAGCAUCUCCAAGCAUUUCAAUAUGGUUCAAAUGGCUCUCAAACAUCCAGAAAUUCCCAACAGUAUGAAAAAUGGCUCUCAUGGUGCUCUCCCAGAAACACCUCCACCCAAGAUGGCCAACCUCAAACGUAAUGCCCAACACUCUAAAAUAUACCAAAAGCAGAGGAGAAAGUAAACAAAAGCAAAGCAUGCACAAACGUAAAUGAUACCGUUAAACCUAGCUCCAUUUCAUAAAGAUCAAUGGGCUGGAUAUAGGCGGAACCAAAAGAAAGCAAGAACGUGAUCUUCAAAACCUUAUUCAAGCAUCAAGAUGAACCCAAAAUUGGCGGGAAAUGAAAUAGAACAAACCGAAAUGGGAAAUGCAAAGCAUGCUAAAAUCAUACCUGACCAAAACGACAGGCUUUUCCUCUGCUCAAACUCGGAAUGUCCCUUUCUCCUAUCUUUCUUAGCUAGCUCUGCUACCCUUCCUCCAUGUCUCCUAUCAGCUGGGUUUUUCUUAUUUUCUCAGCCCGCUUCAUAACCACCAGAAAAACGAAAAAAAAUCUCUUCUUACCUCCUUCCAGCUUACUUCUCCUCCAAGCUAUAUCCAUAUCCCAUCUCAUUUGGCAACCCAAUAGCUCACCCAUCAGUCCUCUUUGGCUGCCCCAAAAACAGCUCACUUCUAAGGUAGUCAGAAAAAGAAAAAAAGAAGAAAGAAGGAAAAAAAAAAUGCUUCCAUCCGAGGGGGUCUACACAUAUACAUUUUGUUCUAAUUUUCUAAUAGUUGUGCACAGUUGAAGGGAAAACAAUUUGAUUUUCUAAUUAAUAUUACUUUUAUAAAUACUUUAAUUACUUUUAUAAAAUUGAUUCAUAAUGAUUUUAUUAUUUCUUUGGAACUCAUAAAAUAAAUCUAAUUACGACAGAAAAAGAAAAAGAGAAAAGUGAGUUUUGAUCACUAAUUUGAAAAAUACAAAAAUAAAAAACUUCAGCUUUUAUAAAUCAUUUGUAUCUUCAUUUAUUUAAAAUUAUUUUAAAAUACAUGCACUUUUUUAUAACUCAAAUAAUUAUUUCCUAAAAUGACCUUAUUAUUUAUGAUGUUAAUAAUAUCAUUUUUUUUUAACCAUGAGAACCUAUUUGAGAUUAAUAAAAUGAGAAAUUUUAAAAAUUUUAAAUACAAUUAAAACUAAAAAAACUUUAAAGUUAAAAAUAUAAAAAUAAAAUAUUAUAUUUUUUUAUUAUAUUUUUGGUUUUUAAUUGUAUUUAAUUUUUAUGUAUUUUAGUUUUAAUUAUAUUUUUAAAUUUUAUAAAUUUCUUAUGUUAUCCUUAAUUGAUGUCAACUAAUAAAAUUUAUAUUCAAUUUUAUUUAUUUUUUUUAAAUGAGAAGAUGUGGGGGUUUAUCUAAUACAAAACAUAAAAUCAUAUUAACUAGGGGAUUAACAAGAUUUUAUUUAUUACUUGAUGAUGUUGGAAAAUUUUUCCACGAUGAUUUGUAUCUUAUGUUAUAUAAUAAAAUUUUAUAAUAUAUUUAUUUAUAAAAUAUUUUUAUCAAAUUAAAAUAAUAAAUUUGGAUAAAUUCAUUUAAUAUUAUCAAAUAAAAAUGUAUUUUAGGAAAUAAUUAUUUAACUUAUGAAAAAGUGUAUAUAUUUUAAAAAAAAUUAAAUGGAUAAAGAUAAAAUUGAUUUAUAAAAUUUAAUUUUUUUUUUCUAUAUUUUUUCAAAUUAGGUUAAAACCCACUUUUUCUCAAAAAAAUAAUAGACCAAAUCUAUAAUUAUCAAUUACAAACCUACAAUUAUCAAUUAUGACUUUAUUGUUUAAUUUAUAUUCUUUAACGAAUUUUUAAAAUUUUUAAGAAUAAUUUGUAAUUCAAAAAAUUGGUCCAUUUAAUUACAAAUUAAAUAAAAAAUUCCAUAAUAUGUUGUUAUCCUUGUAUGUAAUAAAAAACUCGGAUUAUUUAUAUGUUAUAAAAGUUAAAAUUUAUUUAUUUUUAAAUUAAUUUUAUAUAAAAUAUUAUUAAUUGUUAUUAUUUUUAAACAAUUAUUAUUCAUUUUUUAAAAAAAAUAAUUAUACUUUUACAAAAAUAUUAAUAUCCAUAUUUUUAUAAUAUAUAUUAAAAUAGUAUAUUUUUAUGAAAAAAAAAAUAAUUUUAUGACUUUAUUAUAAUAUUACUAUUCAUAUUUCACUAAAUUUAAUUUAUUUGUAACAACAAAAAAAACUAUUUUCAUUUUUAAUAAAACUUAAAUUAAAUCUAAUUAAUAUGGUAUAAAUAGAAUUUAUAACAUUUUUACAAAAUCAAAAUAGAAAAAAAAAAUUAAACCAAUUUAUUCAAAUAAACUUGUUUUUUCUUUUUUCUAAAUAUUUUUAAAAACAAUUUAUCUAAUACUCUUAUUUUUAUAAAAUAUUAAAAUAACAAUUUUUUUAUUUAAAAAAAAACAUGAAAAAAGCAUGGUCACAACAAACCUAAAAAUAAUUAUGAUUCUAUGUACUUUUUCAUUAAAUGUGCUAUUUUUUACCAUUCACGUGUUAUGCCUUACUGAUGUAGAUCAAAGUUACGCAUAAGAUUAAAAAUGAUUUUUGUACUGUUGCUAUUUUGACGGGUUUUUUUUUUUUCAAAUGAAACAUGCUUUUUGCCCUUUUUGCCCCCACUCUGAUUGAGGGUUUGGUUUAUUUCACUAGCACGGAGCCCUCUCCAUCUGCCAGCCUACCUGACAACUCUGAACCGCUCUUUAAGUCUUUGUUUUUCCUCUUUCAUCAAUGACACAAAUAACUCUCACAUCAGGCGUUUUAAUCUAUUACUGCCACAGGCCCACAAGCAUCAGACAAGGUAUUAAUAGAGGCUUCUCUUUGAUACACCUCAAUAACCAUCCAUGUAAGAUAUGUAUAUUAAACACUAUGAUUCAAUACAUUAUUAUAUACAAACCAGAUGAACCCAGUUACCCACAACCUAGCUUAUUAUAAUUUUUUUAUUUGAAUUAAAUUAAAUGAUUUCAUAAUAAUACUUUUUUUUAUUUUGAAAUAAUAGGUGUUGUGCAAUUUGUUUUACUUUAUUGGUAGGUUAUGAAUUAUUAUUAUUAAUAGUAAUAGUAAUAUAAUUCAAUUAAUAUUUUGUAGGAUACUCAAAAGCUUUAUAUGCACGUAACAAAAUAAAAAGACUUACGAAGACUUAAAAUUAAUGUAAUAUCUAUUCAAUUUACAUAAAUAAGUAUGAUUGUGUGAAAAAGGAGAUAAAUGAAAAAGGUAAAGAAGGUGAACAAUAAUAAAUUUGAAGGAUAUGGGAAAUAUUUGGUUAAAUUAAUAAAGAUAAAAUUGAUUCAUAAAAUUUAAGUUUUUUUUUUUAUAUUUUUUUAAAUUAGUGGGUCAAAACCCACUUUUUCUCAAAAAAUAAUAGAUCAAAACUAUAAUUAUCAAUUAUAACUUUAUUGUUUAAUUUAUAUUCUUUAACAAAUUUUUAAAAUUUUUAAGAAUAAUUUGUAAUUCAAAAAAUUGGUCCAUUUAAUUACAAAUUAAAUCAAAAUUUCCAUAAUAUGUUGUUGUCGUCGCAUGUAAUAAAAAGCUCGGAUUAUUUUAUAUGUUAUAAAAGUUAAAAUUUAUUUAUUUUUAAAUUAAAUUUAUAUAAAAUAUUAUUAAUUAUUAUUAUUUUUGAGCAAUUAUUAUUCCUUUUUAACAAAAAAUAUAUAUUUUUACAAAAAUAUUAAUAUCCAUAUUUUUAAAAUAUAUAUUAAAAUAGUAUAUGUUUUUAUGAAAAAUAUAAUUUUAUGACUUUAUUGUAAUAUUAUUAUUCAUAUUUUACUAAACACUAUUUAUGUUAAUUUAUUUGUUAUAACAAAAACUAUUUUCAUCUUUAAUAAAACUUAAAUUAAAUCUAAUUAAUAUGGUAUAAAUUGAAUUUAUAACAUUUUUACAAAAUCAAAAUAGAAAAAAAAAAUUAAAACCAAUUUAUUCAAAUAAACCUUUUUUCUUUUUUCUAAAUAUUUUUAAAAACAAUUUAUCUAACACUUAUUUUUAUAAAAUUUUAAAAAAACAAACAUGAAAAGAACAUGGUCACAACAAACCUAAAAUAAUGACGAGUCUGAACCGCUCUUUAAGUCUUUGUUUUUAUUUCACUCAGACGGAGCCCUCUCCAUUUGCCAGCCAGCCUGACAAGUCUGAACCGCUCUUUAAGUCUUUGUUUUUCCUCUUUCAUUAAUGACAAAAAUAACUCUCAUAUCAGGCGUUUUAAUCUAUUACUGCCACAAGCAUCAGACAAGGUAUUAUUAGAGGCUUCUCUUUGAUACACCUCAACAACCAUCCAUGUAAGAUAUGUAUAUUAAACACUAUGAUUCAAUACAUUAUUAUAUACAAACCAGAUGAACCCAGUUACCCACAACCUAGCUUAUUAUAAUUUUUUUUAUUUGAAUUAAAUUAAAAGAUUUCAUAAUAAUACUUUUUUUUUUUUUUUUGAAAUAAUAGGUGCUGUGCAAUUUGUUUUACUUUAUUGCUAGGUUAUGAAUUAUUAUUAUUAGUAGUAAUAGUAAUAUAAUUCAAUUAACAUUUUGUAGGAUACUCAAAAGGUUUAUAUGCGACAUAACGGAAUAAAAAGACUUACGAAGACUUAAAAUUAAUGUAAUAUCUAUUCAAUUUAUAUAGAUAAGUAUGAUUGUGUGAAAAAAGAGAUAAAUGAAAAAGGUAAAGAAGGUGAAAAAUAAUAAAUUUGAAGGAUAUGGGAAAUAUUUGGUUAAAUUUCAAACUAAUGGUAAAUAAGUAUUUUUAACCUCUAUACAGGGGGAAGUGAGUAAAAUUAUUGAAUGUAGCCAAAAAUAUAAAUAAGGUACUAGAGGCUUCUAAAUAAACGUGGAUAUGAGAAAAGGUAUAUUUAUAAAAAUUAAAUAAAAUUGUUGAAGAAACUAUUAAACUAUAAUCUAAUGCUUUACAAUCUUGUAUAAUGAGAUUAACCUAAAUUAUUAACGAAAUAUCUUAUUAUAUUUUUUAUUUAAAUUAAAUCAAAAAAAUUUGAUAAUAAUGAUUUCAUUUUUAUCUUAGGAGUAAUAGGUGUUCCUUGUGUUCUUUUGUGAUCUCUUGUGUCUAUAAUUAUAUUACUUUUUCUCACACACUCUCUUACUUGGUUAUUUGUUUGUCUUAUGUGUGCAUAUCAUAGGAUUGUUCAUUGGUGGAUGUUGUAUGGUAAUUGUAAUUUGUGCGAUUAAGGAUGAUGUUUAGUUUAGAUGAAUGUCCUUGACAAAUUUGUAAACUCCAUUUGAGAAUUUUAGGGGUUUAUGUAAUUUAUAUUUUGUCACAAGAUUGUCAAAAGGGGGAAAUUGUUAAUUAGUGCAUUAGGCUACUUAGUUUAAAUUAAAAAUUUUGUUCAAUCCAUCUUCACUUACAGACUUUUUUAGAUUAUUAUGUUUUACUAUUUAUUAAAAACUUAAGGUUAUUGCAUGAUCAAUUGGAAUAAUAUAAGUAUAGAGAUGUUCAAGAAAAGUUAAUUGGAAUCAAUUAUAGCAUGAAAUGAAUGUUAGGCUUUAAGCUAGUGAAAAAGGUUUUAAAAUUAAUUUGAAACUACUCAUGAGCCCGAGCUCAAGCAUCACUUUUAGUGUUCAAGCCAAAAUUCUAUAGGAUACUGAAUUUUUUUUUUUUGUCAUAUUUUUAGAGGUUUAUUGAAACAAAAAUUUAAAUUUCAUCUCUUGUUUAUUAUUUAAUACAAACUUUGAAAAUAAUUUAAGUAUUAGUUUUCCCACAUUCUAAACUCUUAAAAGUUCUCAUUCUUAGAUUUAUAAGAGAGAUUUGCAUCGCGAGAUGUACACUAAGGUCACAAUCAAGAUUUACAAACUAUUCGCGUUGCAUGAUUUGUUUUACUGUAAUGGUAGGUGAUGAAUUUAUUUUAGUUCACAUGUGAAAAUGAUGGGGCUAUAAAGAAAAAGAUACAAGUUAAAGUCCGACAAUUUUUUUUUAAUUGAGAUUCAUUUAUUUAUUUUUAAUUGAGAAAAAUAAAAUAUUAAUAUUAUUAGAAACUUUAUUUAUCAAUUUUUUUACUAUACAAUUUUCAUACAUCUAAUAUGUGAACUUUUUAAUAUCAUGGCAAAAGUGAAAAACAAAAAUAAAAUAUUUAAAAAAGAUUGAUCAAAUUACCAAACCAUCUUAUACUUAAAAAUAAGGCACUUAAAAAGACAAAUGACUCUUAGAAAGAGAAUUUGUAUUUUCAUCAAUUUAAGUUCUUUAUAUAUCUAUUUUAUUUGCACACUUACCUAAUUAUUUACAAUAUACUUCAAAUAAAUUUUAUUAUAUACCUUCUUUCACCUUCUUUCCUUGUUUUUUUUUUCUUUGGCAAAAAUAUUCUUCUCUCCAACUUUUUUGUUAUAAAAACAAAAUAAUAUUUGAGAUUAGUGUAAAGCUGAUUGUAAUAUUUUAAAUGUAUUUUUUAAUUGAAGUACUCAAUUAUAUUAGGUUUAUUUCAUAUAAAUAUAUUUUGAGUUUAUUAUUUAUAUAAUUUUUUUAUUAAUAUUUGUUAGAAAAAUAAUUAAUACUUAUUAAAGUUUUUUAAAGGCAACACUUACUAUUUUUUUUUUAAGAAAUACCGACCCUAAACUAAAAAGGGUAUAAUUGAAAUUCAUAAGGGAUCAAAAUUUCAAUUACAAAUUUGAUGACCGUUUUGAAUACUUGUCAACUAAUUUUAACUAUUUUGGAUAAUUUUUCCAUCGCCAAAUUGAAAGAAAGGCAAAUAAUUACAGAGAUUCGAAUGGAUCUCUAUUUGAAAUGCCCGCUUGCCCGCCCUUCAUUUAAGGACCUUUGGUUGGUUUUUCUAUGGGUGACGGGGGAAGAGAGAAACAAGAAACCAAAGGAGGAGGGUAGCUCAUUUUGGGUCUUGCCAGUUUUUGGAGAAGGAUAGCUUACUCGAAGCCGCUUCAAGCAAUACUACUUUGGCGGACCUUUUCAGGUAUGGCAGCUGUAAGCUUCUUUUUAUUUUUUAUUUUUUAUUUAUUUGCUCCAUUUUCUGCUGAUUUUCUGAUCGAUGUGGAAAUCAAGGCUUAAAUGAUUGUUUUGCUGAAUCUGAAUUUGUUUUCAUACUAAACUCUGUUUUGAUUUUAUACUGAUCCCUUUUAUUUUUCCUGUAAAUAACUACCGUAUGGAUUGUUCUUGAGUUGGAUACUUGAUAAUCAUGCCACUGCUCUAUGCUUAUCCCACUUACGUUCAAUCCCAUGGAUAACACAAUGAAAUGUAAGAUAUGGUAUAUUUAUCAAAAUCAACAAUGAGUGCCCCUAGCAUCAGACACGGUAUUAAUAGAGGCUUCUAUUUGAUAUACCUAUCCAUCCAUGUAAGAUAUGGUAUAUUUAUCAAAAUCAAAUAAAAUUCUGUGUGAAACUAUUAAACACUAUGAUUUAAUACAUUAUAGUUAUGUACAAGCCAGAUCAGCCCAGUCACCCACCACGUAGCUUAUCUUUUUUAAUUUGAAUUAAAUUAAACUACUAAAUGCAAUAUAUUUUGAGAUAUUUCUAAAAUCUGUUUGAGAGUAUUAGAGGUUUGUGUAAUAUAUUUAGUAACAAAACUUCCAAAUGAGGGUUAUUUAGUUUAAAUUGAUAAUUAUGUUCUGUUUAGGACUUUUUUAGAUUAUUAUACCUUACUUUUUAUUGAAGAUUUAAAGUUGUUGUAUAAUCAUGAAAUGGAUGUUAAGCUUUACGGAAAAUUGAUUUUAAACUAUGUAGGAGCCAACGUUCAAGCAGUACCCCCGAUGCUCAAACCAGAGUUUUAUAAAUUCUGAAAAUUUUCUUGUUCGACAUUUAUUGAGAGUGUUUUCUUUUUAAAAAAUUUUAGAUUUCAUUCUCUAGUUUUCACUCUUGAAUGCAAACUUUGAAAGAAAAAUCUAGGUAUUGGUUUUCCCACUUACCAAACUUUUAGAAGUUUGUUUUUUGAUUCCUAGGUUUGUGAGAGUGAUUUGUAUCCCCUUUGAUAUUGAGGUUGUCCAAUGGGUGCACAUGUGGUGAUAUGUGAUGAAAAAUUAGUAUAAGUAUCAAGAGAGUAAGAUUUAUGAAUAACUUUUAUCAUGUGAAUAUGUAUACCAGUUGUUUUAUAAUGAAUUUGUGUUUUGUGAUUUCUGGUAGUUUUUCCAUUUGAAUAUUCUUGUUGAUAACUGUAGGAUGAUUUUCAGGUAAACAUAAUUAUAUCUCCUGUUAUUGACCCUUUUUUACAUUCCUCAAUUAUUAGAGAGGAAUUAAAAACAAAUAUUUUGGGCUAAAGCGAAAUAAAUGCUCUAAAAAAUAUUAGUGUUGCACAAUUUAUUUUACUAUAAUGGUAGGUGAUUAAUUUGACAAAUAUAAUAUAGGAAAGCAAUGUCACAUCCCAUUCAAAUUUUGAAAAAGGCCUAAAGUAAAUUAUAGAAAUUACAUGCUGAAAUACAAGAUUUAUGGAUUGAAGUUUCUACAGAGAUAUGUGGGGUAGCACUCUGUCUAGAUAUCUCAUUCUCGUACUAACAAUGACUGUAGAGAUCGAGAUGGACCAUUUCGUGGUGCCGCAGGAAGUAGUUGCUGAUCAGGUUGUAAAUCCUGCGGAUGGCGGUAGGCAUAUUAGAACCUUGGCCAACUUAAAAUCCGAAAUUUGUCGAACACGAGACGACACUCCAUCAGAAAAAAAUGCAAAGCUAGAAUGUCCCAAGGUUCCAAAGUCGUUGUUGCCAUCAGAUGCCAUGGGUUCUGAGUCUGACGGCCACCGCAAUGAGCCAAAAAUCAUGUCUUUGGGUCCUUACCACCAUGGCAAUCCCAAGCUCGCGCGUGGAGAAAUAAUCAAGCUUAAUUUGGCAGAACAUGCCUUUUUAUUAUUUUCGAUGUCGGAAUCAAUCUCAAUAGAGGAGGUCGAUGAAUUGUACGGCGAAAUUAGCGGUCAAGUCCAAUCGCUGAGGAGCUGUUAUGAUGCGAAGUCGACGGAGAAUUAUUCGGAUGAAGAAUUCAGUGUGAUGAUGAUGGUGGACGGGUGUGCUUUACUGUAUUAUAUGUUUCAUGCUUGCUAUGGUGAUGAACAUGACCAAGAAAAUUCCGGUAUCAGAUAUCAGGAUCUAAGGCAUCUGCAGCGGGACGCGUUGCUGCUGGAGAACCAACUUCCCUAUAAAUUACUCCUGGAACUGGGCGAAAAGGUUCCAGGAUAUGACACUAGUGAGUGGAUGGCACUAUGCUUGGAAUUCGUUGGAGUGAUUGGGGAGGAGGAGGAGGAGGAGGCGUACUCAUUCCCGCAAAAAAUGAGGAAAUUUUGCUCCGGCCCGUUCGGCCAAAUUAUUGGCCGGAGUCUGAUGAAGAGUCGGUUAUAAACCUUAAGCCUCUUCAUCUCCUCGAUCUGUACUUAAAUAAUUGGCUAGGAGCCAAACGUCCUAGCCAAAAAAAAAGCGGCGGUGGGGAAUCAGUUAGAUAUGUGAAGGAGAAGGUUAUGGCAUCAUUUAGAAAUGUGAAGGAGCUUAUGGCCGCUGGAAUCCGCAUCAAGCCUAGCCCUACGCGUUACUUGAGGGACAUUUCUUUCACUUCAAAUGUCAUCACUGGAUGCCUCAGACUUCCUAUCAUCACUAUUGAUAACUCAACCAAGGAUUUGUUCUUUAACUUGAUAGCCUGGGAAAGGUGCUCAAGUCGUCGCCAUGACAGUCAUGACUUCAUCUCUUACCUUUGCUUCCUUGAUUCCCUCAUUGAUCAUGCUGAUGACGUUAAGGAGCUGCAGUCAGCCGGGGUACUCCAAAACAAUCUAGGCACGCAUGAACAAGUGGCUGAAUUUUUCAACACUCUGUCCGCCAAGUUUGAAUCAAACUUUCAUGCUUACAGAGAUGUGAGAGUCAAAAUUCGGAAGCACCUUAAAAGUCACCGUAACAGCAAACUGAAAAGGUGGAUGACACAAUGCCUGGACACCUACUUCGGUAGCCCCUGGACUAUCAAAGCUUGGGUUGGUGCUGCUUUGGUCCUUUUCUUUACUGCCGUCCAGACUUAUUUCACAGCCUUCUCUCAUUGAUGCAUUCAUGGCCUGCUUUCUCGCUAUCUAUUGAGUGCUUCUGCAUUUUACCUAGCCUAAAUUCAUGGACUCCAUAUAACCCUUUGAUGUGCAAAGUAAAUUAGGCAAAGAGUCAUUGGUCCCGUUUCUUUGCCAUUUCAGCCUAUUUUCUACCGUCCUUUCCGGGUUUAAAACAAGUAAAAAAAUAAAUGUAUGCUGUGAUCUUAUUUUGGUGUAUUUUGUGCUUAUGUACGCAUAAGUAAUAUUAUGUUUGAUUUAAGUAACUAAAAAUAGACAUGGGUGGACUGUUUUCUUUUUAUGUUUGGAUGCCUAUUAAUGGAUUAUAUUAGGUUGGCAAUUUUAUUUUAUUGAUGUUGUACUCCAUGUAACUUAUUUCCUCGGAUCUUAAUGGUUGGGAUCGGGCAAGUGUUUGAAGAAGUAAGAUAAAGAAAUGAAAACUUCAGAAAAGAAAAAAAAAAAAAGAACCGAAACAAAACAAUGUGAAAAAUGGAGAAAAACCAGACAGGAAUGCAGGAAAUUUUAAUAGAUGAAAGUCAUUUAUUCAUUUUUAAUUGAGAAAAAUAAAAUAUUAAUAUUUUUAUUAGAAAUUUAUUUAUCAAUUCUCUAUUAUAAAAUUUUCUUGGAUUUCAUGGAAAAUAUAUUAAAGAAAUUGACAUUAGCUGCCGGGAACUUAUCUAAAAUUCCUUUUUUUUUUGUGACAAAGAAGCUUCUGAGGAAAGGAUUUUUUUCAAAAGAAAAAUAAAGGAGGGAAGAAGGUAGGUGGUAUGGAAUAGAAGAAUGGAGAAUGGUAUGAAUGUAUUGAUACGAUUUUUAUCUUCUUGGUUGAUUGUGUAAAUAAGAUGGCUGCGUCACAGAAUUUCACGAGUAAGGGAGUAGUAUUUUUUGGAGAAGAAGAGUUUAGUAAUUUAAUUAUUUUUUAUUUAAAUAUUUUAUUUUCUUUCCAGUUUUAAAGAUGAUAUUGGAAAGUUUGACUCGGUAAUAUUAGGUUUAUAUUUGUUCAGAAUAUGUUUAGGGUUUACAACUCAUAAUUUUUGGCAAACAUUUGUCACAACAAUAAUUAGGAAACUUUUAAGAUGUAUUUAGAAGUGAAAAGUGUUUUAAAAAGUGGAAAAAUCUCCAAUAAAAGCAAGAUUGUGUUAUCUAGCUUGAUUUUUUUGUUCUUUGCUUUUCUCUGCUUUUGUUGCAGCUCUUCUGACCAAAAUACUAAUAGUUUCUAUUAAGCAAAAUAAUAAAACAGACACAAGAUGUAGAAUGACAGCACAUGAUAAGAAUCCAUUUUCAUUAAUAUUUAUAUAAAUAAAAAAUUAAUCAAAGAUUAAUAAUAUUUUAUUCUCCUAUUUUAGAAAAUAAUAUUUAUUUUAGAUAAAUCAAGAGCUAUUAAAAAUAUUUUAUUCUCUUAAUUUAGGAAAUGACAUUUGUUUCCUUAAUUUUAAGAUAUUUAUUCUUUCAUUCUUUCUAUAAUUCACAAUGUAUCGUUGUAUAAUUUUUUAAAAAGAAACAAUAAAAAAAUCGUUUUCAUUAGGAAGAAGCUCAAACUUGAGUCCUCUCCAAGAGUGGUCAAAUGCCAGAAAAGGAGUGGUUGAAUAAUAUAGUCAUGAUCAAAAUGGUUGAGAAGACGCAUAUUUCAAAUUGAGGGGUAGAGGCUUCACCCUUUCUAUGUGUUACAAUUCUUACAAAAAAAAUUCUUUUAUGUUUUUAUCGAAUCUCUAUCAAAAAAUGAUGUCUUCACCAUGUUUAAGAGUAAUCAAAUAUUAAUAAUAUUUUAUUUUCCUAAUUUAAGAAAUAAUAUUUAUUUUAAAUAAAUCAAGAGCAAUCAAAUAUUAAUAAUAUUGGGUUAAAUACACUUUACCUUCUCAACCAAUGGUAGUUCUUUUUUUCCCGCACUGUUUUGCUUCAUUUUUGUCUUUGAUAGCUAAGAAAAUUUCUAGACAAAGAAUAAAUAUUAAGUGAUGAGGUGUUUAUAUCGGUUAGGGUUUUCUUUUGAUAGUUGAAAAAAUUUUGGGAAAAAGUUUAAAUUUUAGGUGUUUAGGGUUAAGGUUUUCUUUCCAUAGUUGAGAAAUUUUAUGAAAAAAAACAGAUUUAGGUGUUUAGGUUUCCUUUUCAUAGGUGUUUAUUUAUAGUCAAUUUAGCUUUCUUAUGACAUUUUUUUUUUGUUUCUUUUCAUCAACAUUGCAUCUAUAUAUUUAUCUAAUAUGAAUUUUAUAUUAUAUGUUUGCAAAUAAACCACCUAACUAUUUUACCAUCAAUUAUGAAGGGCGAUUUAGGGGUGAUAUGAGACAUGUAUUUAAGAAUAGUGAUUAUUUGGGUGGAAAAGUGGAUUAUGUUGAUAAUUGUGACAAUAAUGUAAUGUUUUUGAUUGAGUUGGAUCAUAUAUUGUUUUUAUUAAGAUAUAAAUAUUGCAUUGAAUAUUUCUAUGCUAAUAAGAAAGUGAGAAAAUAAAAGCUAAACCUUAAUAGAAAAAACACCCAAGGGGGAGGGAGGUGAAUUGGGGUUUAAAUUUUUUGUUUUUAAGCACAAUGAAUUCAUGUAAAGGAAUCACAAAUAUAAAGAAAUAAGGAUAAAAAAAACUUAGAUUUUAUAGUGGUUCGGCACCCUUUACUUAUGUCAACUCUCCUCAAGUUCCUAAUCGAGUGAAGGUUCCAUUAUACUUGAAGCUUCAACCAAGCGUCCAACCUUUCAGACCUAGAUUUUGGCUCUAAUGAGUUAUUACACAAUUCGUUCAAAUUUCUACUCACUUGAAGCUUCUAACACUCAAAUAAGAAGUUUAAAUCUGUCAACUAAGCUCAAUAAGAGAUCAAAUACAACUAAAAUACUAGGAUAAAUAACAAUGGUGCACUAAAAGAAUAUGCAACCGAGGAUUUUAAUGCAUCAAGGAGAGAAUGAGAGCUUUUGAAUCAAGAACUGGUAAUUAAACAAAUAAAUGUAGGUGUUCUUAUCUUCGUUAAUGAAAGAAAGCUCCCAAUUUAUAGGUUUCUAGCCUUGGGAGCCAAAAUAUCAAAAAAUAGCCUCGACUGGUCAAGCUAUAGGUCGAGCGGUUGACUAGCCAUUGGGCAAUUAAUGCAUGACCGGUGACUAAUAGGCCUCAACUAGACCUUGAUCGGGCCAUGACUGGGAAGGCAUACCCCUCGAUUAGGAAUGCAACACUACUAGAAGAGAGAGAAGAUUUUUUACAUCUCUCGAUCGAUCCUCGACCGGGAAGACAUAAACGGUCGAUCGGUACUUUAACCGAUUGAUCAGUGCCUUGACCAGUUUACCUUUUUUGGCCUAAAAAUCUGUCAUUUUUUUUUGUUGUUUUUGCUUUUAACACCUAGGUAAGGUCUCUAGUCACCGAGUAUGUCAAUUUUCAAACAAUUUGCUUAAGGUUCAUUUGAUAAAACUCGGAUUUUAAUCAAAUGUGUCUUUAAUGCACUUAGGAUAUGGAAAUCCUAAGUGUACCCAUGUAUUCAACUUACAAACGGUUCCUAAGAUUAAAAUAUCUUCUUUGUGCCUUGAUCUUGAAUCUAUUGGAUCCUUUGAUGAAUUUCUCGGAUCUUGAUCUUGAAUCUUGAAUCUAAAUAGACAGGACUAAGGUGGUGUUUGUUUUUUUUACUUAAUUCUAAAUAGAACCUUAAUACUUAAUAGCAUUAAAUAUUAGGUUAUUUGUUUUUAUAGUAUUUUAUUUCUAUUAAGUAUUAAAAAGUAAAAAAAAAAAACCAAUAUGUUAUUUUUUUUAUUUAGAAAAAGUUACAUAUUUUGGCUUUUUUUAUUUAGUAAAAAGUUUAUAAUAAGUCAUGAAAAAAUAAAAAAACAAACAACCUAAAUUCUAAAACUAAAUUGCUUUCAGCAAAAAGCCAAAAAAACAAACACCACUUAAGCCUCUUUGUUGUCAUUUUUUUCAACCUUGGUGCCAAUCAUAUGUCCGGUAUUAAUUUACUCAUGAUGUGAUCUUGAUUCAUUGAUUACGAUAUAGUUUAUUUGUGGUAGAAUUUUGGGAAAAUUAAUAUAAAAAAUAUCUAAGAAAUGAAUUUGAUGAUCAAAUAAUCCAAGAAAAAAAGCAUCAAAUUUAUGAUAUGUAUAAUGAAAGAUGCAUUUAAGUAAAUUAAUAAGCUCGAACCCUUCCCAAAACCAAGGAGACACGCAUUAGCCUAUUUUAUGUGCUUCACUUGCUGUAUAUUAGUAGGUGUAUGAAUAGAUUAAUCUUUCUGAAGAGAAAAAAGAAGAAGAAGAAGACUUGAGUGCUCCUUUUUAAAUGUUAAAUGACCUUCCCUUUGGAUAUCAUUAUAUCAACAUGGACUAGCUGGCAGCAGCCUGUUGCCUACUCGAUUGGAAUUAUGGAGCUUGCAUGCAAUGAGCUGGUGAUUCAUAUUUCACAGGUGGGAUGUAACUUUUUUCUUUUUUUAAUAAAUGAUAAGAAUAUCUCACAUAUAAAAUAAAAAGAGAAAAUUAACCUAUACGUGGAAACUAUUCUCAAUAAUAAUUUUUUGUUUUUUAAACAUAAAAAAAUAUGAAAACUCAGUUGCCUGUAAUUAUUUCCAAAAUAGGUUGUAAUAAUACCUUUUAAUUAUUUUUGGUUAAUUUUAUUUAUUAUUUGGAGCUAUUUUUAAAUGUAAUUUUAGAAAUAUGAAAAAUGAUUGAAAUUUAUAAAAGGGUACAUAAAAGAAUAUUUUGAAAACAUACAAUAUUCAAAAUUACCAAAGAAGCUUUUAUUAUACCAUAGUAAAAUUAUUUUUGAUAAUUAAUCUCAAAAACCAUCUUUUUAUAACUAUUUUGAAAAGUAUUCUCUAACAAACCUUAUGCUUUUAGGGAGGAAUGGUAAUAUUUUAAUAAAAAUUAUAAAAUAUGAAUAUUAAUAUUUUAGUAAAGUUAUAAAUUAUAUUUUUUUUUGUUAAAAACAAAUAAAUUUUUUUAGAAAAUGAUAAUAGUUAAUAAUAUCUUAUUUAAACUGAAUUAUGAAAAUAAGUAUAAUUUAUUUUUCAAAAUAUGCAAUAAAUGAAUCAAGUUUUGAUCACGUACACAUAUUCAUUCCCUAAUUACAAGUAUUCUGAACCAGUUUAGUCCCACAAAAAUUUUAUAAUAAUUAGCAUAAUUUUUUAGUUUUAAUUUAUUUUUAAAAUAAAAGCAUGGAACUAGAUUGAAUCUUUCUUGGGAAUCCCCAGCAAUGCUGGAGGUUGUGGAGUGGCGGGAAAUCAGGGUCAAUUUCAAUCAAACGUGUAUCUCUUUGUAUGCUUAAAAUAAAAAAAAAAAUCUCGAUAAAUCAUCUCUUUCAAUUACAAAUAACUGUUAUUGAAUUAUUAUUAUUAUUAUUAUUCGUAAUAUAAUUCAAUUAACUAUUUGCUGGACACCUACAGUGUUACACCCGACUAAGGGGAAAAGAAAAAGAUCAUACAAGUUAAAGUUAAUUAAUUUGACAAAAAAAAAAAAAAAUCAAAUUUGUUUCAUCAUCUCAAGAUGUCAAGGGUGAAGACUACUACUAUGCGCCAAAACUCAUUUCUUUGGGUCCUUACCACCAUGGCAAGCCCACCUCAAGGAUGGAGAAACGCUCAAGCUUAAAUUGGCAGAAGCCUACAUCCAAGAAUGUGUGCCAAGAGUGGAUGAAAUUUACCACACAAUUAGCGAAAGCAUUAGUGAGCUGAGGGGCUGUUAUAAUGCGGAGUCCACAAAGAAAUAUAAGGAUGACGAAUUAACCAUCAUGAUGCUGGUGGACGGGUGUGCUUUACUCUGUUACAUUUUAUGCGUUUGCUUAGGUUAUGGCCAUGAAGAUUUCAAUAUCAGAUAUCAGAAAAUGAAAAUUUGGAAGGUCCUUCGUCAUCGGAAACUGAAAUUGGCCGGAGGCUGGGUAGAGCAUCAGUUAGAGAUGUGAAGGAGGUUAUGGCAUCAUUUAGAAAUGUGAAGGAGCUGAUGGACGCUGGAAUCCGCAUCAAGCGCAAUCCUACACGUCACUUGAGGGACAUUUCUUUCCGUUCAAAUGGGAUCACCGCAUGCCUGAGAAUUCCUCCCAUCACCAUUGAUAACUCAACCAAGGCUAUGUUCUUGAACUUGAUAGCCUAUGAAAUGAGCUCAGACGUCGACCAUGACUUCAUCUCUUACCUUCGCUUCCUUGAUUCCCUCAUUGAUCAUGCUGAUGACGUUAAGGAGCUGCAGUCCAUCGGGAUACCAAAACAAUCUAGGAACCCACGAAGAAGUGGCUCAAUUCUUCAACACCGUGUCCGCCAACUUGGAAUCCAACUUUCAUGCUUACAAAGACGUGAGAGUGAAAAUUCGGAAGCACCUUCAGAGUCACUAUAACAGCAAACUGACGAUGUGGAUGACACAAUGCCUGGACACCUAUUUCGGUAGCCCCUGGACAAUCAUAGCUUGGGUUGGUGCAGCUUUGGCCCUAUUCCUUACUUUCGUCCAGACUUACUUCUCAGUCUUCCCUCAUUGAUGCAUGCCUGUCCUGUUUUCAACUAUCACCAUCUCAAUUAAGGUAGUAUCCACUCCAAAUUUCCUUGUUUUUCUCGCUAUCUGCAUUUUACCUAGUCCAUGUAAAUUAAGCAAAGACUCAUUGGCUUCAUGCGCUUUUGACCUUACCUCUUUUGUGUUUUUGGUUUCAGCCUAUUUUCUACAUUGCUUUCCGUGCUUAAAUUAAGUAAAGAAUGACUAUGUAGUGUGACCUUAGUUUGGUGUAUUAUGUGCUAUCGCAAGCAUGUGCUAUGCUUGUAUAUGCAUCAUCAGCAGUAUUAUGUUUGAUUUAAGUACGUAAAUAAAGAUAGAUAUAGGUGGAAUAUUUUUUUUCUAUGUUUAUAUUCCUGUUAAUGUAUUAUAUAUAUAUGUUAGGUCGGCAAUUUUUUUUAUCUCAUACCAUUUUUAAUUAAAUCAUUCUUAAACUAUAGUUACUAAGCCAAAAAUUAUAAUGCUCUAGAAAUAUAAUCAAUCUCAUUGUCGAAUUUUUCUAAAAUAAUCUCAGAAUAAGCCCAAUAUCUCUAAUAAUAUGUUAUUUAAGGCACAUAAUAUUCCAAAAAGAAAAUUCUGCAAAAGAAAAAGAAAUUUGUUGAGAAGUGGUUUAUUUUAGUUAAUAUGAACAAAACAACAUUUUGUCCGAUGGAAAUUUGACUAAUGCUUGUAAGUACCGAUUUGUAAAUAUUUGUGGGGGGAGUUUCUUUUGACAACCGAUGGAGCAAUUCAGGUCAUGCAACACUUAUUUGACAACAUUCUAAAAUAAUGUUGUUAAAAAUAUUUAAGAAUGGUUCUGAAAAUAUAUUUUACUUGUUCUUAGGAAUAAAAUUCAACUUAUUUGACAAUAUUCUUAAGAAUAUGCUUUAUCUGUUUUUACUUUUUAGGAAUAAAAUUCCAUUUAAGAAUUAAAAUAUGAAAUACGGCUUUUCAGCCUUGUCCUUCACAAAGGCAUGCGCAGUGGACCUAUAAUGCAAGUUCUUUUUUGUUCUUUUUUAAAACACUUGCAUAAUUUUCUUAAAGAUUAUUUUCAAAAAAUUUUAAAUUUGAUGUAAUAAUUCAUAAAAUUUUCCUUGCAUGUAAUGAAAAACUCGGAUUAUUUGUAUGUUAUAAAAGUUAAAAUUUAUUUAUUUUUAAAUUAAUUUUAUAUCAAAUAUUAUUAAUUAUUAUUAUUUUAAAAAAAUUAUUUUUUUUAAAAUAAAUAAAUUAUACUUUUAUAAAAAUAUUAAUAUCCAUAUUUUUAUAAUAUAUAUUAAAAUAUUUUUUUUAUGAAAAAUAUAAUUUUAUGACUUUGUUAUAAUAUUACUAUUCAUAUUUUACUAGACAUUAUUUUGUUUUAUUUAUUUGUGAUAACAAAAAAUAUUUUCAUUUUUAAUCAAACUUAAAUUAAAUCUAAUUAAUAUGGUAUAAAUUGAAUUUAUAAUAUUUUUACAAAAUAAAAAUGGAAAAAAAAAAUAAAACCAAUUUAUUCAAAUAAACUUUUUUUUUCUAAUUAUUUUUAAAAACAAUUUAUCUAACACUCUUAUUUUUAUAAAAUGUUAAAAAUAUAUAUAUAUAUUUAAAAAAAAAAAAAAAAAAAAACAUGUUCACACAAAAUGUGCUAUUUUUUACCAUUCAGGUGUUAUCCCUUACUGAUGUAGAUAAAAGAUACGCAUAAAAUUAAAAAUGAUUUUUGGACUGUUGCUAUUUUGAUGGGUUUUUUUUUUUUCAAAUGAAACAUGCUUUUUCCCUUUUUGCCCCCUCUCUGAUUGAGGGUUUGUUUUAUUUCACUCUCAUGGAGAGCCCUCUCCAUCUGCCAGCCAACCUGACAAGUCUGAACUGCUCUUUAAGUCUUUCAUUAAUGACACAACUAACUCUCACAGCAGGCGUUGUAAUUGAUAGAAUCAAGGACAGGACAUGGAGUAAUUUGUUUUACUCCAUUUGCCAACUAAUCUGACAAGUUUGAAACACUCUUUAAUGCUUUGUUUUUCGUCUUUCAAUCAUGACACACCCAACUCUCCAUCAGGCGUUGCAAUUGAUACAAUCAAAGAUGGGACAGGUAUUCAUAGAGGCUUCUUUUUUUCUACACCUCUAUAACCACCCAUUUAAGAUAACGUAUAUUUAUCAAAAUCAAACAUUUACUACAUAAUUGUUUGCGAAACCAUUGAACACUACGAUUUAUUACAUUAUAAAUAUAAACAAGCCAGAUGAACCCAGUCACUCACAACGUAGCCUAUCAUAAUUUCUAUUUUUUUUUUCAUUUGAAUUAAAUUAAAAUUUUCAUAAUAUAAUACUUUAAUUUUUAUUUUGAAAUAAUAGGUGUUGCAUAAUUUGUUUUACUUUACUGGUAGGUUAUGAAUUAUUAUUAUUAUUAAUAUAAUUCAAGUAACAUUUUGUUGGAAACUCAAAGCUUUAUAUGUGACCAGGUAGGAAAAAAAAACACCUAUGAAGACCUAAAAUUAAUGUAAUACCAAUUCAAAUUAUAUAGACAAGUGAGAGGUAAGUGAAAACAAUAAAUAAGAAGAAUAAAAAAGGUGAAAAAUAACAAAUAAAAAAAAUAAGAGAGAGAGUUGAUUAAAUUUUAAAUUAAUAGUGGUUAAGUAUAGUUAACCUAUAUAUUAAGGGAUGUGAGUAAAAUUAAUUUUUUAAAAGUAUUGAAUGUAACCAAAAACAUAAAUAAGGUACUAGAAGUUUUGAAUAAACGUGGAUGUGAGAAAUGGUAUAUUCAUCAAAAUCAAAUAAAAUUGUUGAGAAAACUAUUAAACUAUGAUAUAUAUAUAAUGUAUUAGAAUCUUAUAAAAAUUAUAAGGACCUAUUUAUUAACAAAGUAUCUUACCAUAAAUUUUUAUUUAAAUUAAAUCAAAAGAUUUGACAAUAAUGACUUGCUAUUUGUUGGGCCUAUGUGUGCAGAUCACAGGAUUAUUCGUCAUUGGAUGUUGUUUGGUCACUGCAGUUUACACAUUUGAGGAUGUUUGGUUUAGACAAGUGUCACUGACAGAUUUGUAAACUUAUUUUUUAAAGUAUUUAGGGUUUAUUUAAUCUAUAUUUUGCACAAAAUUGGCAAAGAGAAGAGAUUGUUAAUUAGUGCAUUAGACUACUUGUUUAGAUUUACAAUUUUAUUCAAUUCAUUCUAACUUAAAACUUUUCUAGGCUACUAUGUUUUAUUCUUUAUUGAAGAUUUAAAAUUACUACGUGAUCAAUCGAGAUAAUACAGGCAAGUGUAAAGAUGUACAAGAAAUGUUAAUUGAGAUUGGUUAUAGUGUGGAAUGGAUAGGCUUUUGAUUUUAAAAUUAUGAAAAAGGUGAGUGUUUUUCGAUCCCAAUGCUCAAGCACUCCUUAGACUACUUAAAUGCUUAAGCCAAAAUUAUGUGAAAUUCUAAAAUAUUGUUUUUUUCAUAUUUUGAAUAAUGUUUUUUUUUUUGGGGGGAAAUUUUAGAUGUCAUCCCCCUCUUUUUUUUUCUCUUUAAUGCAAACUUUGAAAAAAAAAAUUAGUCCGAGUAUUAGUUUUUCCACAUUCUAAACUAUUAGAAGUUUGUUUUCUCAUUCAUGGGUUUGUGAGAGACAUCUACAUCCAUUUUAGGCAUUGAAGUGGUCCUCUGAGUGCAUGUGUGGUGCUGCGUUAUAAACGUGAAAACUAAUAUAUGUAUUAAGGAGUAAGACUUAGGAAUAACAUCGAAAAUCUAUAUACCUUUUGUUUUAAUAGUGGAUUUGUACUUUGCAUAUUUUGACCUUGUGAUUUUUACACCUGCAUAAUCUUUAAAAGACUGGGAGUCAUUUCCAAGUAAAUGUUGUUAUAUCUCCAACAUAAUCUUUGAAAGACUGUAGGAGUAGUUUCCACGUAAAUGUUCUUAUAUCUUCUAUAAUUGAUUUUUCUUUACAUUUCAUAAAUAUUAAAAAGGAAAUAAAAAUAAAUAUUUUAGGAUAAAAAGAAGUAAAUACCUGUUGACUUCCUUUAGUUUCAUAACCAAGAUCUACAAACCAUGAGUGUUGCAUGUGAAAAGAAAUAUUUAUUUAUUUUGGGCUAAAAUAAAUAUUUUUCUUUCAAUUUAUUUUACUGUAAUGGUAGGUGGUGAAUUUAUUUUAGUUCACAUGUGAAAAGAAUGGGCCCUCAUCUGCCAUUUUGGACAAGUUGGUUCACUGAUGUGAUGGUAAGGUCAAUUUGUAGUGGAAAGAUUAGCUUAAUUUUGAGUACUCAUUAAAAGGUGGAGAUAAUCUUGUUCUAGACAAAAAUUAUUCAAUCAGUCCAAGAUUUUUUUAAUCUUUAUAAAAAUAAAUAAAAUCUAGAUAUGGAAUCAGUCACGCGGAUGCUAUAAAAUCUGAAAAUAUACCAAAUCAAUGUCACAUCCCAUUCAAAUUUUGAAAAAGAUAUAAGAUGAAUUAAUAAAAUUAUAUGAAAGAAUGUAAAAUACAUGUUGAAAAGUGAAAACGAAUAAUUACAUUGAAUCAAAGAUAAAAAUUGAAAACUGAUGCGUAGAAAGAAAAUGACCUGAUGACUUGGGGAAAGAAAAGGGAUUCAAGUCAACUUUUGACACAAAAAAAAGAAAAAAAAAAAGAAAGUAUAGAGAUAUCUAGUAGUACUAUCUCCAGCUAUCUCAUUCUCAUACUAACAAUGGCUGGGAAGGAGGUGGUGGUUUCAGUGGAGGAGCAGCAGGAAGUAGCUACUAAACAGUCUGAAAAAUCUGCGGAUGGCAGUGAUCAUUCGAGAACCUUGGCUGACUUAAAAUCCAAAUUUCGCCGAUCUCCAUCAUCACCGUCAAGUCCAAAGCUACAAUGUCCCAAGGUUCCAAAGAAGUUGCGAUCAGCUGUCAAGGAGGAAGACUACUAUGCCCCAAAACUCAUUUCUUUGGGUCCUUACUACCAUGGCGAAUCCCACCUCGCGAAUGGAGAAACGCUCAAGCUUAAAUUGGCAGAAGCCUACAUCCUAGAAAUUACUGUGUCACAAGGGAACUCAGUCGAGCAGUCAGUCGAUAACAUUUACCACAUGAUCAGAGAUCGCAUUGAUGAGCUGAAAGGUUGUUAUGACUAUCAGGAGUCCAGAAAGAACUAUAAGGAAGACGAAUUCACUGCGAUGAUGCUGGUGGACGGGUGUGCUUUACUGUGGUACAUUUUAUGUGUUUGCUUAGGUGGUGACCAUGAAGAUUACGAUAUCAGAUAUCAGGAUCUAAGCCUUCUUCACCAGGAUGCGUUGCUGCUGGAGAACCAACUUCCCUAUCAAUUACUACAGGAGCUGAUGAAGAUGGCGGUCCCAGAAUCGGCCAAUAAAGCUUGGACAGUACUAUUCCAGGAAUUCUUUGGCAUGAUCGACGAGUCAUUCUUCCAAGAAUUCUUUGGUAUAAAGGAGAAGGAGUACUCAUUCCUGCCAAAAAUGAAGAAUUAUUGCUGCCGCAUGUUCCUGGCAAUCAUCCAAAUUAUUAACAGGAAACCAAAGCUGAAACCUGGUGAAGAGUCGGAGCCGAAACCUGAUGUAGAGUCGAAGAUGAAACCUGAUGUAGAUUCGAAGAUGAAACCUGAUGAAGAGUCGAAGCCGAAACCUGAUAAAGAGUCGAGGCUUUGUCAUCAUCUCCUCGAUCUCUACCGAAGAAAUUUCCUAGGCGAUGAACGUUCUAGCGCAACGCAUUCGGAGGCUGAAAAUGGCAAGAAGGGUCCGGGAUCAGUUGGAGAUGUGAAGGAGCAGGUUAUGGCAUCAUUUAGAAAUGUGAAGGAGCUUAUGGCCGCUGGAAUCCGCAUCAAGCGCAGUCCUACACGUCACUUGAGGGACAUUUCUUUCCGUUCAAAUGGGAUCACCGCAUGCCUGAGAAUUCCUCCCAUCACCAUUGAUAACUCAACCAAGGCUAUGUUCUUGAACUUGAUAGCCUAUGAAAUGAGCUCAGACGUCGACCAUGACUUCAUCUCUUACCUUCGCUUCCUUGAUUCCCUCAUUGAUCAUGCUGAUGACGUUAAGGAGCUGCAGUCCAUCGGGAUACUCCAAAACAAUCUAGGAACCCACGAAGAAGUGGCUCAAUUCUUCAACACGGUGUCCGCCAACUUGGAAUCCAACUUUCAUGCUUACAAAGAUGUGAGAGUGAGAAUUCGGAAGCACCUUAAAAAUCACUACAACAGCAAACUGAAAAUGUGGAUGACACAAUGCCUGGAUACCUACUUCGGUAGCCCCUGGACUAUCAUUGCUUGGGUUGGUGCUGCUUUGGCCCUUUUCUUUACUGCCGUCCAGACUUACUUCUCAGUCUUCCCUCAUUGAUGCAUGCAUGCCCUGUUUUCUCGCUAUCUAUUGAGUGCUUCUGCAUUUUACCUAGCCCAAAUUCAUGGACUCCAUAUAACUCUUUGAUGGUUGCAAAGUAAAUUAGGCAAAGAGUCAUUGGUCUCGUUUCUUUUCCAUUUCAGCCUAUUUUCUACCUUCCUUUCCGUGUGUAAAAAAGUAAAGAAGGAAUGUGUGGUGUGAUCUUAUUUUGGUGUAUUUUGUGC
rnacentral:lncRNA from 1 species